rnacentral:lncRNA from 1 species
CUUCAUGAUCUGUCCUUCCAGUGAGCACUCAGGGCUGAUUUCCUUAAGAAUGGAUACGUUUGAUCUUCUUGCAGUCCAUGGGACUCUCAAGAGUCUCCUCCAGCACCAUAAUUCAAAAGCAUCAAUUCUUCGGCGAUCAGCCUUCUUUAUGGUCCAGCUCUCACUUCCAUACAUCACUACUGGGAAAACCAUAGCUUUUACUAUACGGACCUUUGUUGGCAAGGUGAUGUCUCUACUUUUUAAGAUGCUGUCUAGGUUUGUCAUUGCUUUUCUCCCAAGAAGCAGGCGUCUUUUAAUUUCGUGACUGCUGUCACCAUCUGCAGUGAUCAUGGAGCCCAAGAAAGUAAAAUCUCUUACUGCCUCCAUUUCUUCCCCUUCUAUUUGCCAGGAGGUGAUGGGACCAGUAGCCAUGAUCUUCGUUUUUUUGAUGUUGAGCUUCAGACCAUAUUUUGUGCUCUCCUCUUUCACCCUCAAUAAAAGGUUCUUUAAUUCCUCCUCACUUUCUGCCAUCAAUGUUGUGUCAUCUGCAUAUCUGAGGUUGUUGAUAUUUCUUCCGGCAAUCUUAAUUCUGGCUUGGGAUUCAUCCAGCCCAGCCUUUCGCAUGAUGAAUUCUGCAUAUAAGUUAAAUAAGCUGGAAGACAAUAUACAGCCUUGUCGUACUCCUUUCCCAAUUUUGAACCAAUCAGUUGUUCCAUAUCCAGUUCUAACUGUAGCGUCUUGUCCCACAUAGAGAUUUCUCAGGAGACAGAUGAGGUGAUCAGGCACUCCCAUUUCUUUAAGAACUUGCCAUAGUUUGCUGUGGUCGACACAGUCAAAGGCUUUUGCAUAGUCAAUGAAGCAGAAGUAGAUGUCUUUCUGGAACUCUCUAGCUUUCCCCAUAAUCCAGCGCAUGUUUGCAAUUUGGUCUCUGAUCCCCUUCAUGGAUCACUGCCUUGCCGUGGCGAAGGGGCUUGAAUAACUCAGAGAAGCUAUGAGCUAUGCCAUGCAGGCCACCCAAGAUGAACAGGUCAUAGUGGAGAGUUUUGACCAAACGUGAUCCACCUGGAGGAGGAACCGGCAAGCCACUCCAGUAUCCCUGCCAAGAAAACUCCAUGGACAAAGAGAACAGGUUGCAUCUUACUUUGUAUUAGUAAGCUGUUCACCACUUUGGUCGCCUCUGGGGCAGAAUGCAGUAUAUAAAUGACAUAACAUAAAAAUAAAUAUUGUAAAAUGCCUUGGGGUGGGUUUUUUGGAUCUGAGAGAUGCAUCAAAAAUUCAGAGAAGCGCAGUAUCCAAAGGAUAACUGUGCUCAACCCAAACAUGAGAUCAGGAGGGGAAGAUCAGUUUCAUUCAUAUUAGACUUUGUUCCUAUUAGACUUCAGCCCAGUAUACCUGUAGGAGUGUCUCCACCCCCAUCGUUCUGCCCGGACACUAAGGGCCAGUUCUGAGGGCCUUCUGGCAGUUCCCUCACUGCAAGAAGCAAAGUUACAGGAAACCAGGCAGAGGGCCUUCUCAGUAGUGGCACCUGCCCUGUGGAACGCCCUCCCAUCAGAUGUCAAGGAAAUAAACAACUAUCUGACUUUUAGAAGACAUCAGGGAAGUUUUUAAUAUUUAAAGUUUUAUUCUGUUCUUAAUGUUCUGUUGAAAGCUGCCCAGAGUGGCUGGGGAAACCCAGCCAGAUGGGUGGGGUAAUAAAUUGUUGUUGUUGUUAAUAUUAUUAUUAAGAUCAAACUCCUCCAGCAUCCCUAGUAGGUACCUGCCUGUUCACAGCACAUCCAGCAUUGUUUUUCUGAUUUGAUGGUCUCCUUCUAUAGUGACAUUUACCAGUUUUUCCUGACUGAGCACCACCAACGAGAAAAGAUAUUGUGGACCCAACUUACAGCUCUUUUACUUCAUUUCCCACAUCCUAUCUGUCUCUGCUAUGCAAAAUGUGAGCUGUUGUGUCUAAAGAUUAAAUGGUAGAGCAAUCACAAAGGAUGGAUUUUGCUGGAGGAACUAUUGCACUUUCCAUUGUUCAUAAAGGUGCUCCCUAUAGAUACAUUUCCACAGAGUGUUUUAAAGCCUUCCUAAUCACAGCUGAAAACUGCAUAAAACAUUUAGGGCCAUAAACACAUUCCCAUUUAAAUUUUCAGCUUCAUUGCAGGGCCAUCUUUCCCCCAAUCACAGAGUGCUCCCUAUUGUGCCAAUUAAGGUGUUUAAAACUCUGGGUUGCCAUGUCGCCAUAAAGGAGGAAGCGGAACAAUUUUGCCAUGGCUGCAUAAUUGUGUACAAAAGCUGCAACAAUGAAUUUACAACCUCGGCCCUUUACAGUAGUCCCUGGUGCCUUGAAUAAUUUUAUUACUGGAUCUGGCUCACUUGAUAAAGGAGUCUGGUUUCAUCAUCUAUCAUUGUUGGAGACUGGAGAGGAGGGCAAAUCAAAUUUCAAAUCCUUCUGGGAGACUCUUUAUCACUUCCCUGUGUAAAUAUGAGGACACCAGCAGCUUGAACAACCCUAAGCCUUCUGGGUGAAAUGAAAUUGGAAAGUGCAAGUGAUCAACGGUGAUUUUCCCGGCUUAAAUGUCAAGAGCAAGUGUACAUUUUAGGGGUAGUUUUUUCCAGAACAGUUUUGAUGGGGAGGAAACGUAUGAGUCUCUCAAAGUCCAACAAUACCAUUUGUUUUAGAAGUCCAUGGUGCUAAUAAAAUCCAAAACGUUAAAACUGCCUCAUGAACAAUGCCUUCAGCGAGUGUAAGAGUUCUUUAUAUCUCAGCUGGGCAUUGUAGAACACUUCAGACAGGACUCUUAAGAGCUAGGGGUCAGUAAAUGGGUCGAAUUCAGUUUCUCUCAGGCUCUCAUUCUUCCAGUCAUAAGUUCAGUUCUUCACAUUCCAACAUCCAUUUCCAAAAUGGCUGCCGUGCUCUCAUGCAAGGGGAAAAUGGGAUGUCCCAGUUUUAUUGGGACACUUGAGAGGUAUGCAGAGUUCUGUUGGCGUAGGAUCGUUUAGCUCAGGCUUCCUCAACCUCGGCCCUCCAGAUGUUUUUGGCCUACAACUCCCAUGAUCCCUAGCCAGCAGGGCCAGUGGUCAGGGAUGAUGGGAAUUGUAGUCUCAAAACAUCUGGAGGGCCAAGGUUAAGGAAGCCUGGUUUAGCUCAUUUAGCCCCCUUGUUUUAUUUAUUUAUUUAUUUAUUUACUUACUUACUACUACUACUACUACUACUAUUUGUAUACCGCCCUAUACCCGCAGGUGUCAGGGCAGAUCACAGAAUAAAAUCAGAAUAUAAAACCACAAAGUAUAACUGAAAUAAAAACAACAAAACACCCCCCAACACAUCUUAAAAUGGCAUAGGAUGGCCUUCCAAGCGGUCUUUGUCCUGCUGUGCUGAUUCCCGCCUCACUGGUGGUCAGAUUUUUAAUCAGAAUUUUAUUUAAUUUUGUUUUUUAACUGACUGUCAUUUUUUUAAAAAAAUCAUUGUAUUUCCUCUUAUCUGAUUUAUAUAUCACUUUAUUGUGGUAUUAUUUGUUUGUUUUAUGGAGUGGCUAUUUUUACUGUGGAUUUUAUUGUGGAAAGAUGAGGUUCAAAUGUGACAAAUGCAUAAUAAGGAUGCCUUUAGACUUAAUUUUGAUGCUUCAGGUGUCUGAAAAGAGGAAUUUUCAGAUGAUAAACAUAAUUAUCAAUAUUGUUCACCAAUGAAAAUACAUACCGUUGUAGAAUGAUUAAGAAAAGUAUAGAAUACAGUGUUGCUUACAAGCCAGCCUACCAUUCAAGUGGUCAACGUAACUUACAAAAUGGUAGAUUUAGUCGUUGCUUAUGAGCGUCUGGAAAUUCCAAUAUAAUAUUCAACCCUAUGUUUCCUUUCACCAAACUCUAUUGAGACAUCACUUAAUGUCACUUCUAUUUCCUGUACAUUCUGUUCACUGUAUUUUCCUCCCUCUCCCCUUGUUUUUCUUGUCUGAAAAUAUUUGUUUUGAUGUAUUAAUAUAUACAUGGAAAUAAAAAAAAGAAAGAAUGCAAAAUAAUGAUCAGGACAUGCUCCGACUGGUCUGCCUGUCAAGGUACAAUAGAUCUUUAUUUGGUGUAACUACCUUGACAGCGAGCUGUGCUAGACAGAAACCAGGUAAUCAUUGGGCUGAACAAAAGAUAUAUUCAGCGGCAUGUCUCUCAUUUUCCUGCCAUUCAUGGUCUGUGAGUAAAUGAAAUAAGCCUGUGUGAAAUGACAACCAGAAGCUCUUUAGUGUGGUUUACACGGCUGUGUGAGCUGCAAUGCACAGCGUGUUGUGACACUGAAUGUAUGUGUUGCUGCUGCGCAUUUCCAAGUGAAGAAAGUCCACUUCUUCCUCUAAGCCAGGCAUGGAGAACUUCUUAUGCUCCAAAUUAUUACAAAUCUAGUCAGAAACGAAUUCCAGACCUAAGGUGGACUUUUCAUUUUCUCCACAAUCCAAGGGAUCUUGUUUCUACUUCUUCUUAACAGAUAUGCAGACUUAAAAAACAAACAAACAGUCCUUUGUCUUUUUAAGUUUAAUAAUAACUAUGAUAGACUUGUGGCAUUUUCCAGAGGGAUACCCGUGUUAGGCUUUUGUAGCAAGAACAAAGGAGAGCCUUGUGGUGCCUUAAAAAAAGUAACAGACUUAUUAUGGCAUAAGCUUCUGCGUCUACUUCUUCAGAGGACAGAACCUGUACAGUGGUACCUCAGGUUAAGUACUUAAUUCAUUCCGGAGGUCCGUUCUUAACCUGAAACUGUUCCUAACCUGAAGCCCACUUUAGCUAAUGGGGCCUCCUGCUGCCACCGCGCCGCCGGAGCACAAUUUCUGUUCUCAUCCUGAAGCACUAUUUCUGGGUUAGCGGAGUCUGUAACCUGAAGCGUAUGUAACCCAAGGUACCACUGUAACAAAGGAGAUUCCGACUAAACAUUAGGAAGAACUUUCUGGUGAUAAGAGCUGUUUGAGUGCGAAAUGGACACCAUGGAAGUUGGUGGACUCUCCAUCAGAAGUUUUAAAAUGGAGAUUGGAUAGCAUCUGAGAAGGAUUCCUUAGCUGUAAUUCCCGCACUGCAAGGAGUUGAUCCCUUCAGCUCUAAAAUUCUAUGAAAUAUAUUGCUGGAACCCCAUUCCCAUCAGCCUCAGCUAGCAUGGCCAAUGGUCAGGGGCGAUGGGACUUGUAAGUCCAACAACAUCUGGAGUCACAAAGGUUUCCCAUUCCUGCUCUAGGCUCUCAUAGGAUUUGGGCAUUUGCAGGAGUAACAUUUCCUAGAACCAAGACUACUGCAGGUUUGAGGGGACACUGGGCAAAGGGUCUUCUCCAGCCCCCUCACCCUAGCUGCUUGCCCCCUUCUGUUGCCACAGUUUCUCUUUCUCUACUGAAAAGUGCCUCUUCUGUUUAAGAGGCCCAGCCCAUUCCUGCAACCCUUGACUUCAAAGCAGUGAGGGAAGAGUCUGACUGUACUGAGAUUUCUGCGACGGAGUCCUCUGAAUCAGAGGACAGCAGGGCAACAUCCUUGGCCUCAUCUCACAAAAGUGCUUCUGGGGUUGGCCCUGUGUGCAGUGGCGGAGGAAGAGGAGUGCGAGGGGAGCGCACUGCCCCUGGCAGCACAAUCCCGGUGGGGUGCUAUCGUGGCUGGGGGGCCCCCUGCGCUGGGAGCCACGCCCCCCAGGCAGUGUGCCACGCCCCCGGGAUGUGCACCAGCCAUUCCCCCGCCUGCUCUCCGCCCCCCGGUGCCGGAGCAUGAAGCUCCGCCACUGCCUGUGUGCAAUUCUCCUUCUGAUCCAGGGUCUUCAAUCUCACCCACUGAAGAAGGGGCAUCGACUCCCAGGAGCAUGUCAGAAAAGAGGGGCUGUUUUGCCCAAGUGUCUCUGGACAGAAGGGGCACUUCCAGACAACUCCAAAAUAUGUUGACAAGUGUAGGUCAGGUAUUAGCACCCUACAUCCUUGAUCAGUUACACACACACACCACCUUGAAAAAAAUAUUCUGGCCCAGCCUUCCAAACUCUGAGAGACAAUGAAUGAAUCUAGCCAUUUCUUUUUCAUUUCCCACAAUUCCCCAAAUCUAGCAGCACUAAUGGGGCAUUGUGGGAAAUUAACAGGGUGGCUAGAUCCAGAUGCUUGAGGUGCUGCCAGGUCAGCUGACCAGGACCCACUGCCAAAGGAGAGGACCCAGCAGAGGACACUCUGCUCAGGGUUCCCUCAAAAUUAGAAACUCGGGGCUUUCUCAAAACUAUUUUCCAGGACUGGUGGAAAACAGAUUGCGCAAAUGUUAUGUACUAAGCUUGGAUCCUAGAACAAUAGGAAAGUAGGAUCCUAGAAGGCAACAACUGAUUGGCUUGCAGGAAAAGACCAAUCAGGCUCCAGGAGGAAGUUAAUCAGCCUAUUGGGCUGGUAGGAUCGUAGAAUGCAACAAGUGAUUGGCCUGCAGGAAAAGACCAAUCAGGCUCCAGGAGGGAAGCAGAAUCAGCCAAUCAGAUGGGACUCAUUGGGUAAAUAAUGUAUAUAAAAGCCUGAGGUCUGGGGGGCAAUUCAAUCACUGUUUUACAAGCUGCAAUAAAGAGCAUGAAAUCACUACAGGACCCUGAGUACAUUUCAGCAAAUUUUGCACAGAACAAGGCUACUGCAAGUAAAGAAACAACACUAACAUGUUCUGUCGCCAUCUGGGGACCUUUCAUGUCUCUGAAAUCCUUCCUAACACUAAUGUUAGGAGGAGAGUGGGGAAUAAAUCAGAGCUUUGCAAACAGAAGACUAUUCUAUUUGCCUUGUCGAGUCACAAAUUCCUACUAGCAGUCUUGUGUGACUUUUCAUUUUACCAGAGGAGAACCAGUAAUUAUUUGUAGUUUAUCUUACCUGCAGAAAGGAUUCUCAAGGUGCAAAUUAAUUAGGCCUUUAAAUAAACUGAUUGUCCAGCUAAUAAAUGAUCACAUUUUCUAAUCAUGGGGAGAUUUAUGCUACUUUAUUUGAACCUCAUUGCCAGGAGUAGAAACCACUGUAAAUCACUAGAAAGGAAAUGUCUCGAUUAAUUAGAGGGCUCUCUGCAAACAGCAGCCAGGGUGGAACACAUUUCAGAAGGCACCCAACGGAAACCAAUAUGAUGAAUACAAGUAUGUUGGGUACAAGCAAUCUAGUGAGAUGAAUGUGUUGAUAAAUUUAAAAACUGGAAUGUGUACUUGCAGCAGAAUGAAGUGAAAAUGAGCUAGUAGCUGUCUAAGGUGGGCUUACCACUUCCAACUUCAGGUGCGGGGUAGCAUGAUGGAAGGCUCUCCCAUGAUGGGGGGAAGUAGAACAUUAGGUUAUCAGGGUGCAAGACUCUAGCACAGCCCUUUCUCUGCUGGGUUGUUUUUUCUCCCCCUCCUUGCAGGGUUUGUUUUCGUUUUUGCAGAGGAGAGCAUUCAAAACUGCGGAGAGUACAUUUGUUGUUGUUGUUGUUUAGUCGUUUAGUCGUGUCCGACUCUUCGUGACCCCAUGGACCAGAGCACGUCAGGCACUUCUGUCUUCCACUGCCUCCCGCAGUUUGGUCAAACUCAUGCUGGUAGCUUCGAGAACACUGUCCAACCAUCUCGUCCUCUGCCGUCCCCUUCUCCUUGUGCCCUCCAUCUUUCCCAACAUCAGGGUCUUUUCCAGGGAGUCUUCUCUUCUCAUGAGGUGGCCAAAGUCUUGGAGCCUCAGCUUCAUGAUCUGUCCUUCCAGUGAGCACUCAGGGCUGAUUUGCUUCAGAAUGGAGAGGUUUGAUCUUCUUGCAGUCCAUGGGACUCUCAAGAGUCUCCUCCAACACCAUAAUUCAAAAGCAUCAAUUCUUUGGCGAUCAGCCUUCUUUAUGGUCCAGCUCUCACUUCCAUACAUCACUACUGGGAAAACCAUAGCUUUAACUAUAUGGACCUUUGUUGGCAAAGUGAUGUCUCUGCUUUUUAAGAUGCUGUCUAGGUUUGUACAUAUGUGCUUAAAAUGUGAUUUCCCUCUGCAGUCUGAAGUGCUACAGCACUCUUACUGCUGCAGGACUCUACCACUUCCUUUGCAGAAGAACAGCACAAGAGCUUGCUGGAUCAGGCCCACCGCCCACCUAGGUCCGCAUCCUGUUCUCACAGUGGCCAACCAGAUUCCUGUGAGAAAUCUACAAGUCUGCCCUCCUGUGGCUUCCAGCAGCUGGUAUUUAGGAGCAUUAUUACCUCUCACCAUGGAGACAGAACAUUCGCCUCAGUCAUGGCUAGCAGCAAUUGGGAGACUUACCCUCCAUGAAUUUGUCUAAUCCUCUUAUAAAGCCAUCCAGCUUAGUGGAAACUAGUUCCAUAGUUGAACUAGGCACUGCAUGAAGAUCUUUGUGUCCUGAAUCUUCCAACAUUUUGCGUCAUUCAAUGUCCAUGAGAUUUAGUAUUACGAGAGAGGGAGAAAAAAUACUUUUCCCUAUCUAAUUUCUCUAUGCCAUGCAUAAUUUUAUAAUCUUCUAUCAGGUCACCUCUUACUCACAUUUUCUCUGAACUAAAUAGAGUGGUACCUCGGGUUACAUACGCUUCAGGUUACAGACGCUUCAGAUUACAGACUCCACUAACCCAGAAAUAGUACCUCGCAUUAAGAACUUUGCUUCAGGAUGAGAACAGAAAUUGUGCUCCGGCAGCGUGGCGGCAGCGGGAGGCCCCAUUAGCUAAAGUGGUGCUUCAGGUUAAGAACAGUUUCAGGUUAAGAAUGGACCUCUGGAACGAAUUAAGUUCUUAACCCGAGGUACCACUGUAGCCCCAAAUGCUGCAAUCUUUCCUCAUAGCAGUUGUUCCAUUCCUUUGAUCAGUUGUGCCAUCUAUGCGGAGCCAAACCCCCCUAAUUUUCACUGAGGGGGGGCUGACCCCCUCAAUAUUCUGCAGCAGUCACUGCUGUGACUAGGCCCCGUUGGGUGUUUCGUGAGUUGCGACAGGCCCCAUCGGACCUCCUCCUACCAUGUGACAUCACCAUAGCUGUCAACUUAUAGAUUUGAAAAUAAGGGACCAGUAGCCAAAAUAAGGGACCUGCAGCCUCACCUGUUCCAGGCACUCCAGUGUUACUGUCCUCCUGCAGUCUGGUCAAACUCAUGCUGGUAGCUUCGAGAACACUGUCCAACCAACUUUGUAACCAGAGGUUCAACUGAAUAGAAUCUGAAUCACAUGAACCACAAGGCCUAUGCAGCCUCAACAUAAGAUGGCUCUCCGGCCUGGCUUUGCACUGCAAAGUUUGCAGCAGCACGUGCAACAAAAUGGUGUCCAGCAUUCAAAAAACUCCUCCGCUUGCAUUAACUAGCCACACACAAGGCAUGCAAGCUCCACCCCCCAGUCGUUCUUAGACUUCUUAUUGGGUGAGCAACACAGCGAAGUAACACAGUUGGAGCCUCCCUCCUCCCUGGCCAGCAGGGAGGGAGGGAGAGGAGCUGCUUCCUUUGAAAUUUAAGGGACAUCAUUUAAGGGACAUUUAAGGGGCAUCCAUCAAUAAGGGACAGAAGCAGGACGUGGCGCUGGAAUAAGGGACUGUCCCUUCAAAUAAGGGACAUUUGACAGCUAUGGACACAUAGCUAUGACACAUGCGCCAGGUCCUCACAAUGUUGAACAGAACCUAGCACACCUGCCCUUGAUCAUCUUGGUUGCCCUGUUUCCCAGCUCUACAAUAUCCUUUUUGAGAUGAGGCGACCAGUACUCUACACAGUAUUCUAAAUCCUGUUACGCCAUAGAGCUGUAUAACAGCAUUAUGAUGUCAGUGGUUUUAUUUUCAGUUCUAUCUCUUUCCGUUACCUGUGCAAAUGGCAGGCUCGGAAUUCUUCAAUUCUAGGGUAGAUUCUUUUCUGUUCCAAAAGUAUAUCAUGGAGUGGACAGGACACAAAUGCCAAAAAAAAUCCUAUUAUCUACACAGCAUACCUUGGUUCCGAUAAUUGCUUUAUGGGAAGUAAUUAGAAUUAAUUAAGGUAACGAGCCAUCGGUGGCCACCCAUGACUUUUCCUUAACAAUUAGUUCUAUGUGGCAGAAACUCUCUGAGAAUUUCUAUCCCAUCAUAGGCUCAGAAAGUCUGUGGGCUGGAGUGCGCUUUUUCUCUGAUUGUUUGAGAAAUCUCACCUCUGUGGAACCUGAGGCAGCAAAUGGAUAGCUGGCUUUUUGCACCUGCUUCAGAAGCUGGUACUGGAAACCCUAAUGCAGUUUAAAUGAAGAGAGCGCCCAGCAGGCAAAGAAGAAGCUUUGGCAGGGUGUAAGAGUGUUUGGAGAGGGGGCAGAGGCUGUCAGCUGGUGAUCUUUGGUGUUCAAAGAGGGAGGUCAUACAUAGGGAUGGGUGAAUGUGUCAAUUCUCUCAGUUCAUUUCUCCACUGAAGUUCAAAUCUCAACAUCUUAGGCAGCAGUCUACAAUUGUUUGUUUGUUUGUUUGUUUGUUUGUUUUAAAAAGCUCAUUCAAAUUCAGCUGUAUUUUACUGUCAAUUUCUCCUAAUACAGUGGUACCUCGGGUUAAGUACUUAAUUCGUUCCGGAGGCCCGUUCUUAACCUGAAACUGUUCUUAACCUGAAGCACCACUUUAGCUAAUGGGGCCUCCUGCUGCCGCCGCGCCACCAGAGCCCGAUUUCUGUUCUUAUCCUGAAGCAAAGUUCUUAACCUGAAGCACUAUUUCUGGCUUAGUGGAGUCUGUAACCUGAAGCAUAUGUAACCUGAAGCGUAUGUAACCCGAGGUACCACUGUAUACAGACACAUGUGUGUAAGCAGUACAAAACAAUUGUCCCUUAGAUGCUCAGUUGGUAGAGUGCAACACUCUUAAUCUCAGAGUAAUGGGUUCGAAGCCUAUGUUGGGCAAAAGAUUCCUGUGUUAUCAGAGGGUUGGACUAGACGACACUCACGAUCCCUUCCAAUUCCAUGAUUUUAUGAUUCUAGCUCUCUAUUUCUUCUUAUGCUGUUUUCAUUUAUAUAUGCAUUUUAUGCACACAAAAGUAUCUGCACUUGUGCAUGUGUUGUGGCUUUCCAGUGUUUAUCCAAAUCACCGAUCUGCUGUCAGGCAUAAAUGAUUACUCAAGCCUUGGUCGGAGCAACAUAUGAACUACACUGUUGGUUUGCAGUUCAUGAUAUUGACCCGCCGUGAAUAUUUAUAGUGCCCUUCUUUUGCUUUGAUCCUCAGCCUUGAUUAAUGGGAAGCAUUCCCUGACACACUCCAGACAAAAUAGCCCCACUGGGACAUGCCUUCUUCCGGGUAAUGAUUCUUUCCUGGCAGACGCUCAAACUUACACCAGGAUUCCUGCAUCUGCAGAGCUGGACUUAAAAGCAAGUGUGAUGGGGGAAAGGCUUUCAUGUGAAAUUCCAGCAUUUCCAUGAAUUUGUUCUCCACAGAAAGCCACCUUUUAAAAUAUACACAGCAAUGAAUACUGUGUCCAGUUCUGGGCACCACAGCUUAAGAAGGAUGUUGACAAGCCAGAAUGUGUGCAGAGGAGGGCAACCAAGAUGAUCAAGGGUCUGGAAACUAAGCCUUAUGAGGAACGGUUGAAGGAGCUGGGUAUGUUUAGCCUGGAAAAGAGAACCAUUAUUAGUAUAUAUCAGGUUUCCUAAACUUGAGUCUCCAGCCGGUUUUGGAAUACAACUCCCAUCAUCCCUGGCUAGCAGGACCAGUGGUCAGGGAUGAUGGAAAUUGUAGUCCAAAAUCAGCUGGAGACCCAAGUUUGGGGAACCCUGGUAUAUAGGAGAAGAAGCUGCAGAAUGCUCAGAGUUAAUUCUGUAAAUGUAGUGGCCAAGAAUUAUAUACUGAGGUUUUAUGUGAACUCACAAGAUCCCAAACAACUAAUUCUGAAUAUUUUUGUCCAUAAAGGAGCUUUUGUACAUGACACCUUACUCCCCCCCCCCCCCGACUCUCCAGUCUUUAGAUGUUUCCCUUCACUGUUGUGGCUGCACAUCUCUCUUGUCUAUGGGCCUCUAAAGCCCUCUAUUUAAUUAAACUUAUUUUAAAAAAUCUUAUUGUUUGCUUUUUAUCUUCCUGCUAUGCUGAUCUGCAGCUCGACCGAGCCUUCUCAAAAAUCAUGCUUACUCUUUUAAUAUUCAUACGAAAUAGAUCGAUGAAUAAUUUAAUUAGCAGAAAUAGGAGAGCCAAAUGUUGUUGUAUUUAUUUAUUUAGACAUGUUUGCCCCACUUUUCUUUACAAACAAAUUCAAAGCACCUUACAAAAUUACUAAAAACGCAUUGAGACAAAAAAAAUAUAUACAAUUAACGUAAUCGAAAGAAGUUCAGCACAGCUCAGCACACACUCAAACACACUUCCCUCUUCUUCUGCAAACAAAAUGGGCUCCAAAAUGUUCCCAAGGAGUGAGAGGGAAAGAUACCAGCAAAAGUAAUAUAUUGUGGGUGGGCCUCCAGCUUCUUGGGGAAGGGUCAUGUUCCCAAUGAGGACAGCAAGGGGACUACAUGUCGCAGGGUGUCCAUUGGGAAUGUGAUAUGUCCAUUUCCACCAAGAAGGAAAGGAUCAAGUCUCUUUUGGGGUUCAUAUGUCUCCAUAGACAGCAAUGGCACUUGUCCCUGAACCUUAAGGACCGGGGGCCGGAUUCAGCUAACGAGUCCUGCUAGCAGAAGCCCACACCAGGACUUCCACUAACACAAUGGGACUUUCCCUCUCUCCUGGGGGAUGAGAACCCCCAGAAUAGUACACAGAGGAGGAGGAGAGAGGGGAUAGUUCUCUCUGGCAAACGUAACUGCUUGCACUGAGGGAAAGAUUGCCAUAGUGCUGUGCUGUGACUAUGGGUGACCAUCAACUAUGUUUGUACCUAUUGAAAUUGAUGGACUUCACUUAAAAGGUAAAGGGACCCCUGACCGUUAGGUCCAGUCGCGGACGACUCUGGGGUUGCAGCGCUCAUCUCGCUUUAUUGGCCGAGGGAGCCAGCGUACAGCUUCCGGCUGAUGUGGCCAGCAUGACUAAGCCGCUUCUGGCGAACCAGAGCAGUGCACAGAAACGCCGUUUACCUUCCCGCUGGAGUGGUACCUAUUUAUCUACUUGCACUUUGAUGUUCUUUCAAACUGCUAGGUUGGCAGGAGCAGGGACCGAGCAACGGGAGCUCACCCCAUCAUGGGGAUUCAAACUGCCGACUUUCUGAUCGGCAACCCCUAGGCUCAGUGGUUUAACCCACAGCGUCACCUGUGUCCCGGACUUAACUUAGUCAUGUUCAUUAACUGCAGUGGGUCUACUCAGUGGUGAAGCUGAUGCACAGAGGAGGAAUAGGCCCCCCUCUACCUGGAGAUGCUGGGGACUGAACCUCGCACCUUCUGCUUGCAAGGCAGAUGCUCUGUCACUGAGCUACAGUUCUUUCUGAGCAACAGUUGACUACCAACCUAUGGCUUGGAUCCUAAGCUAACUUUAUUCCAGGAUGCUCAUAGAAGGAAAGAUUUCUGUCCUCUCCUCCCCACUGCAGCUACCACUCAGGAAUACAAAAGCCUCUCUGGGCUGCUGGGGGACCCGCCUGAACAAUGAGGCUUGAGGGACUGUGAGGCAUGGGGGAACUGUCUCAUAUUGUGCUUGCAUCCUAUGAUCAUUUAACUGGAGGACGUUACAUUCACAGAACAAGCAUUUCCUGGGAAUUCUUCUCCACCUGCAACCUCCUUCUUCUGAUUUCACAUUGUUCAGGAGCUCCCCCUGCCCCCCAAUACUCCAGAUAUGCUUUUCGGGAGUUUCAUGUGGUGUAGUGGUUAAGAGCGGUAGACUCGUAAUCUGGUGAACUGGGUUCGUGUCUCCGCUCCUCCACAUGCAGCUGUUGGGUGACCUUGGGCUAGUCACACUUCUUUGAAGUCUCUCAGCCCCACUCACCUCACAGAGUGUUUGUUGUGGGGGAGAAAGGGAAAGGAGAAUGUUAGCCACUUUGAGACUCCUUCGGGUAGUGAUAAAGCGGGAUAUCAAAUCCAAACUCCUCCUCCUCCUCUUCUUCUUCUUCUUCUUCUGGGAGUUGAGGAUGAGAACUUCUUUAAGUCAGAUUAUUUUAGGAUAAUAAAAUAACUUUGUUCUGGGCUGGGCCCAGAACAAAGUUAGUUGAGCUAAAUUUCUUCUGGUAUCAAUGAGACUUCAGGUUAUGUCAUGGUUAACGUGUAUCACUGAUGUUAGGGGUCGGGGAGUUCAACUAACUUAGUCUGGAUUGGAGCUACAAACCCAUUAUUAUUUAUGACGUAUCUAAGACGUAUCAAAAAGUUCAGCUUAAAUUAAUCCUGUCCUCUUAAGAAAACCUGGAUGGGUUGACAUGACCUGUUUUUUAGAGUCACCUAGCAAUCUCUUCACUUCAAUAGUACCCUCUCAAACGUCAGUUGUUGGCUAAUCUCCCUCUAUCCGACCUCCCUUUUUUUUUUUGAAAGAUAAAUGAUAGACUUUGAUCUCUCAAGGGCUUCCUCUUGCAGGAAAAGAUAGCAGAGCCGCUCAUGGAUGCCACAAUGAGAGUGGACAGGCAGAAGAAAAGUCUUCAACAGAUAGAUUAGAGCGGAAUGGAAAUGUCAAGUGAGCAAAAGGGUACUUGUCCUUUUGAUUGUCUACUUUGUACCGUAUGCUAAAGGUCCAUGAUUUCAUAUCUAUCUUCUUCCUUCCCCACCUCCACCCCAAUACGCCAAUCUUUUCCAUGUAUGAGCAUAACGAAAAGUUGCCGCUUAAGCUUAUGUUGCUUUCCUUUCUUUUUUAAAAACAGCAUUUGCAAAAAAAAAAAAAACUUGCAUAUUUUUAACCUCUUAAUCCUCAAAAAGCAGGGGGGAGAGAGACAGACAGACCAACCAACAAUUUGUAUCCAGCUCUUCAGCCAACAGGGACACGGCUGGCGCUGUGGGUUAAACCACAGAGCCUAGGACUUGCUAAUCAGAAGGUCGGCGGUUCAAAUCCCCACGACGGGGUGAGCUCACGUUGCUCGGUCUCUGAUCCUGCCAACCUAGCAGUUCGAAAGCAGGCGGGAAGAUAAACGGCGUUUCCGUGCACUGCUCUGGUUCGCCAGAAGCGGCUUAGUCAUGCUGGCCACAUGACCAGAAGCUGUACGCCGGCUCCCUCGGCCAAUAAAGCAAGAUGAGUGCUGCAAUCCCAGAGUCGUUCAUGACUGGACCUAACGGUCAGGGGUCCCCCCUUACCUUCAGCCAACAAGGAUACCAGAGCAGCUUACAUGAAAUCAAAACAACACACUCUCUACCUGCGGGCUUACACUUAAAUAAAUAAAUAAUAUUUUAAAAAAAGAAAAAUACAACACACAAUGGAAAAAGGACAGGUGGGGGAGAGAGAGGAAAAUAAAACCCAACACUCAUUCACCAAUUUCUAGACAGUUGUUUUUGUAUUGACCAGCUGACAUAGCUCAGAGGCAGUAGACCCCUACAGAUACGGAUCUAGAUACAGAUAUAGAUAUAUAGAUAAUGGAUAUACUCAGCUCAAAGUUAUAUCAGAUGGCUGGACGGCUUGAGACUUUGCCAAUAUCUGGCAGCUGGACACCGCCAGGGCUAUUUGUAGGCAAUGGGAACUUCAGGCUUAGUUCCUGUUGUUCUGCAGCAGCAACACUGAAAAUGUACUCCAGCCUCCAAAUAUAGUGGGCCAAUAAGCAGCCAAUAAGGCCCAAUCUGGUGUUGUCUAGCAGCUACAAAUGAGCCAGAUGUUGUACUGCUUCCAGUUUGCUGCUAGCCCUGAAAAUGAUGCACUUAGGCUGCAGUCCUAACCAUGUCUGCUCAGAAAUAAGCCCUGUUCAAUUCAAUGGAGCUUUCUACCAGGUAAGCAGGGUUAGGGGUCGCAGCCUUAGAUGGCAACGGGCUUCUUGCCUUGAUAUCCAGGGAGCAUGUCUUAAGGAUUGCUCCUUCAGCCCUUCUGCCAAAGCAAACUGAUGCUGAAAUAAGGAGAGCUGAACUAAUGACUGGAAAAAUGAAAAAUGGCGAGAAACCAGAUUUGACACAUUUGCCCAUCCCUAAUCUAACCCAGUGGAGGGACGCGGGUGGCGCUGUGGGUUAAACCACAGAGCCUAGGACUUGCCGAUCAGAAGGUCGGCGGUUCGAAUCCCCGUGGCAGGGUGAGCUCCCGUUGCUCGGUCCCAGCUCCUGUCAACCUAGCAGUUCGAAAGCACGUCAAAGUGCAAGUAGAUAAAUGGCAGGAAGGUAAACGGUGUUUCUGUGUGCUGCUCUGGUUCGCCAGAAGCAGCUUAGUCCUGCUGGCCACAUGACCUGGAAGCUGUACGCCGGCUCCCUCGGCCAAUAAAUCGAGAUGAGCACCGCAACCCCAGAGUCGGUCAUGACUGAACCUAAUGGUCAAGGGUCCCUUUAUCUUUACCUUUAAUCUAACCCAGUACUAUCAAUUCUGUUUUCCUAGUGUUUGCCUAACCCAGUGGCUUUUGAAUCAGUGGAUGACAGGUAACUACAGAGUAAGGUUGCCAUAUUUCAAAAAGUAAAAUUCCUGAUACCCACAAAGUUGUUGAACUUUUUAAAGCUUUUUUUAAAAAACAAAUCCAAAUAGUUCAGCUUUUGGGGGGAAACCUAACCCCAAAAUAGUGGCUUUUUUAGCUGUUUACACUGUUUUUUCAUCGUGUUGAUACACAUCCAAGUCGGUGGCCCUCAUAGCCUCUUGCAAGAGCAAGUUCCAUAGUUUGGCAUACACAAGGCUGAGUAGCAGCAGAGUUCUUCUGCAACGUGAAAUGCAGGAAAGACACAAGCCCGGACCAGUGAACCUUAGUGUGAUGACUGCGAAUGUUGCAAGUUGGCUAUUUUCAGCUGCAAAAUUGUUGGAGGGUAUGACAUGCUCCCACUGCUCCUUUUUUUGGACGGAGGGGGAGGAAGCACAAGCUGCUGCAAUACAAGUGACACUGUAAAAGACUGAAAGCCCACAAAUGCAUCAGAUAAAAAGGCAGGUUUUAUGACACUUUUUAUAACCAGCAUCUUCUGGGUGACCUGAUGCUUCGUAUCUAAUUCCAUCUCCUCAAGCCAAACAGCUUUGUUUAACAUGGAAAUAUUUGGCUACACGAGUGCCAUCCUGCUUAACAUAUCUUGGGUCUUGUUGCUCCCAAAAUGUGUCUCCUAGGAGAUGAAAGCCUUCUGUCACAGUGGGGGGGAGGGGAUUAAAAAUCCAGAUCAUCUGCUGAGAUACAAGAAACUGAGCACCAAAAUGGGGAACAACUAAUUCUCCGUUUCCCACUUGCUGGUAUACAUCAGGGAGGUGUGCCCAAAAUUCUUUGUGUACCAUGGAAAGCAGCGAUAAAUUCAGUGUUGCAAUCUGUAUUAACACUGUUUUAAAUUGGGGGUGGGGGGUGGAGAGGGAAGCAGAUGGCAUUGGAUGGGAGAAAAUUAACGGGCCAGAAUGAGUAUGGCUUGCUGCAAAGUUGCCAGGGACAUCUUCAGCUAGGGAAAUUACAGGUAAAUAGCCCAGGUGGGCCAGGACAUGAUUGUAUAUGAGCCAUCUUUAUUUUCCCACUGACCUCUCUUCCUGCACAAGGAAGGAGGCAAGCUAGGUGUGAAUUGGGGAGACAGAGUACAGUUGCAGUUCUUUGAGAAAGACAGAAAAAUAUACACAGGGAGGGAGCUAGCUUGGAGCUCUGAAAGUGCCUUUGGGGAGUGAGGCCCUUUCUCUCUGAUGUGGGGCAGUGGCUUUGUGAGAAGUGUAGCCCUAUAAAUGUGGGACUAUAACUGUGAUCAGCCCCAGCCAGUAUGGCCAAUGGUCAUAGGCACGUCCAUAGGGUGUGCCAGGUGUGGUUAAUUAAAAACAAAACAAAAACAAGGGGGAUCUCAGAAUAAGAAAAUACGGAGCAGUGGCGCAGCUGCCAUGGCCCAUGGGGAAGUGGUGGGGAGAGAGAGAGAACGGGAGAAGGGAGGAGGGAAGCAGACAGAGGGAGACACAGACAGAAUUAGAAGGCUGGAAUGGAUGUGGAAUACAUAUGCAGCUCUCUGUCUGGGUCUGUCUCUGGAAGCAGCACAGGCAGAAGCUGCAGAUCCAUUCCAGCCUUUUUCUUCUGCUUUUGUCUAUCUCUGCCUCUCAGCUCUGUCUCAGUCUAAGCACCACAUGCCACCUUUUGCUCACACCUGAUGAGCGAUGUUUUAUUCUCUAAGACAGGAAGAUAAAGAAACCUUAAUCUGUUUUGAUCAAUUUGAGUUGAUCAAUCUGGUUAAAGAUAACGAUCAUGAAAAAUGCCUGUAUCUUUAUACAGGUGAAACUCAAAAAAUUAGAAUAUCGUGGAAAAGUUCAUUUAUUUCAGUAAUUCAACUUAAAAGGUGAAACUAAUAUAUGAGAUAGACUCAUGACAUGCAAAGUGAGAUAUGUCAAGCCUUUAUUUGUUAUAAUUGUGAUGAUCAUGGCGUACAGCUAAUGAAAACCCCAAAUUAACAAUCUCAGAAAAUUAGAAUAUUAAAUGAAAUCAGCAAAACCAAGGACUGCAAAUAGAGCGAUACUGAACCUCUAAGAAGCAGAAGUGAAGGACUGCACAUAUCUGCUCGUGGGUCCCUGGAGCACAGAUUCACAGAAAGCGGCAAAAUGUCCUUGCAGGUUAUUAACAGGAUUUUUAUUUGAAGUGCAUAUGCAAAACAAAGGUACAGAGCAAUAAGUUUGCAAUCUGCACACCUAGUCAGGGUGUGCCCCCUUUAUAUAGAUUUGCAGAAUAGAAUACCACAUGAUCUUUUGUAAACCGAAAGUUAUGGCAACUUUCUAUGUCCUUAUAUGGGCUUGACCUUGUAUGGGCUUGCUUGCCCCCUUCUUCCUGCAAUGGCCUCACACCAGCCUCUCCACGCCACGGCAAUAUGCGUUCCUGAGUCUGCUUAUCUCUUUACAACCUUGAAUAAUAAACAUUUCAGUCUGUUCCAUCAAUGCCAGCUUUGUUCUCCUGAUGGACCUCGACACGUGUUCACAUGUAAAAAAUGUGAUUUGCACUAAUAGCAAUAAGAUGGGGCUUUGUUUCUUGUGCCCCCUGUCUGGGGUACAAUAAUCUAUUCAGCUUUUUACCCGCCUAAGCCAGUCAUUCUGAGAGAGGAGAAAAUGGCUCAAACGGGUUUUGGGACCAUAUAGAGAACAAUAUUCUAAUGGCCCCUUCAGAAGCAUGCAUAUGUACUCAGUACUUGGUUUGGGCCCCUUUUGCAUCAAUUACUGCCUCAAUGCGGCGUGGCAUGGAUGCUAUCAGCCUGUGGCACUGCUGAGGUGUUAUGGAAGACCAGGAAGCUUCAAUAGCAGCCUUCAGCUCUUCUGCAUUGCUCGGUCUCAUGUCUCUCAUCUUUUUCUUGGCAAUGCCCUAUAGAUUCUCUCUGGGGUUCAGGUCAGGCGAGUUUGCUGGCCAAUCAAGCACAGUAAUCCCAUGGGCAUUGAACCAAGUUUUGGUACUUUUGGCAGUGUGGGCAGGUGCCAAAGGCCUGCUGGAAAAUGAAGUCAGCAUCCCCAUAAAGCUCGUCUGUGGAAGGAAGCAUGAAGUGCUCCAAAAUCUCCUGGUAGACGGCUGCGUUGACCCUGGACUUAAUGAAGCACAGUGGACCAACACCAGCUGAUGACAUCGCUCCCCAAAUCAACACAGACUGCGGAAACUUCACACUGGACUUCAAGCAUUUGGCAUUCAUUGUGUGCCUCCCCAUUCUUCCUCCAGAUUCUGGGUCCUGGGUUUCCAAAUGAGAUGCAAAAGCUGCUCUCAUCAGAAAAGAGAUUUGGAUGUCAUUAAUCUAUCUCAUAUAUUAGUUUCACCUUUUAAGUUUAAUUACUGAAAUAAAUGAACUUUUCCACGAUAUUCUAAUUUUUCGAGUUUCACCUGUAUAACUUGAUUAUCCCUAUAGCAAAAAAAAUGUAGUAUUUUGUGUCCCAUUUUUUAAGUUUGUACUUUUAAAAUAAAGUUUAGCUGCUAAUAAAAAGUUAAGUUUUAGAUUCAGUUUGUUUGAUGAAUAAAAAUAAUGUCACUUAUGAUUUCCAGUGGCUAUGUGACGCGGGCAGCAAAAAGCCAAUGCAAUUGGGCUGCAUCACAGAUCUGUGAUCAAGGAGUGCAACAGCCAAUGUGCUGCCUGGUCGUGACUCACUGGCACUAGUGUCCAGUCUGGGCUACCACAGUCUACUAGGCUGACAUUGACAGUCCGGGAAUCGCUGUCCAGAGUAGGCACCAAAACAGAUCAAGGUCUGGAAACGAUGCCCAUGAGGAACGGCCAAGAGCCGGGCAUGCCUAGCCUGGCAGGAGCCAAGGCGAUGAUAGCCAUGUUCAAACACAGCAGAGGAGGGAGAAGGUUGUUAUAUGUAUGAUUUAGUAUGAGUAUGUAGUCAAUAGAUGUUUGCCUUAAAAAAAAACCUAGGUGCACACCCUAAGGAAAUGUACUGUUCAUGCCUAUAUCUGGAGUUGUGGUGGGGAACUGGAUCCAGCUGGCAGGCCCGAUCAUGUUCUCCCCAACAACCACCACAAGACCAGGUCUGACAGGUGGGCGGUGCCAUUUACCUGUCAAUCACCUGGAAAUACAAUAAUAUUAGGCAACCUGCUUUUGUCCAUGUGGUUAGCAUCAUGGACAAAAUGGGGAUGGGUUAGAUGGGGGCUGGAUGUUCCCCAAGUUUUCCACCUCUGGUUUAAGCAUGUGUCUCCAGCUAUGUUCAACCUGUAUGUUUGUACAUAAAAAAAAUCAAGCAUUACAAAAUGCUAUAAGCCUCCAGUGACCUCCUUCUAAAGAGAACCAAACCCAGGAGAAAGCUGCACCUGUGGAACUUCUUACUGCCCUCAGGGAAAUGGAGCAAGUCCAAGAAUACUGUCCUGGAAAAUAUCCAUGCAGAGAAAUGGUCUCUAAUAAUAGUCUUUAGGGGCAUAAAAUUAAAGGGGGGAGGGGAGAAAAAUACAUACAAAUGCAAGUAAUAAUUAGAUCCAUCCCUUUUAUAAACACAUCAGUCAUCCCAGCUGAUUGUCAGUUUGAUCUGAAUUAAAGGCAUUUAUCAGCAGCCUCUCAAACAGCUUUCUGUAGAUUUAAGAGUGAAAACGAAAUGGGAUUGCAGCUAGAUGGCUAAUCAAAACAAGAUUGGGCAUGGUGCUAGCAUAGCAAUUAGUGGAAAUUGUAGAUAUGUUAAAGGAGAAGCCAUUAAUAUUCAGAGUAGUUUUGCAUCGACAAUCAGUUGAUUUGUUAUAAUGUGCCUCCCAUUACUUUAUGCUAUUUGUGCAAAUAUGUUUUCAUCUGUGCAAUCUCCAGGAAAUGCUUCCUGAACAGUUACAUAAACACUAGAAAUGCAGCGUGGUGCAGUCCUGAUUAACCUCUGUGUGACAUACCUCUGCUCGCUCUAAUGAGAUUACACGGGUUCAGAUACAAAUCUAUUAAUUUAAGCCCACCAGCAGGGCUUUACAAUGGGCACAUUAACAAAGACAUAUGUCCUGAUGGGUAGCUCAGUUGACAGAGCGUGAGACUCUUAAUCUCAGGUUUGAGCCUCAUGCUGGGUGGAAGAUUCUUGCAUUGCAGUGGGUUGGAUCAGACGAUCCUCGUAGCUCCUUCCAACUCUUCAGUUCUGUGAUUUUGUGACUAUAAUGUUAUGAAUCUCAUGAACUAAGUGUCAGGAGCUCAGCCUACACUUGAGUAGGACCCUGGCAGAGACACACGCCCGACUGGCAUGUUUCCUCCCUCCUGGUCGAUCGUUCGGGAGCUUCAUUAGCUUUCUUCAGCCCGAACAUCACAGCGACCAAUGCCAACCAACAAUGGCACACUUAGGGAUCCGCAGAGUUUGUGCAUCAUGCAUGACAGACCUCAGCAACUCAGCAUUUUGGCUAAUCUACUUUAUUUAGAUAUAAACAGAUACAGAGCACUGCAACAUGGCUCCCUCUCUCUAGCAUCAGACAGCAAAGAGGAAAAGAACAAAGGACAAUAGUCCCACUUCACGGAACACAGUAACACAAACAUCCUGUCUCCAUCACUUCCCACUCUGUGGAGUCAAAACAUAAACCGUCAUGUGAUAAGACAAAAAUCCCAUGACUGCAAUCACGGAGCAGGAAUUCUGACACUAAGACCAGUGAGUUAGGUGAAAAAGGUGCCAGGUCUCAACCUGAGAGCCAUUGGAUUUAGCAUCACUUUUAUAAGCAGUGUUGGCCGAAUUACUAUCCCCGUCUCUGUUGUCUGGAUUUGUUAAAUGGGGAUAGUGGCCUUUCUUGCAGGUGUAUUAUGAAGAUGAAAUACGUAACUUUUAGGGGUGUUUUCCCUAAUCGUGCCAUCUAGCAGUUCUAUUGCUGCAAUCCAACCCACAGUUUCCGAUUGUCAGUGGGGCAUUUUUCCUCAGGUGCCAAAAUGCCUGGGGAAAUGGUUCCCAGGAUUCUUUGGGGUGGAAUAUGGUUUAAAUGUACGGUGAAGAACUGGCCUCCCUUUUCUCUCCACUCUCCUUGUGCGCUUUUAGUUUGUAAACCAGGGUGGCACGACCUAUCUAUCUAUCUCGCCCUCUUAAUUGAUGCGAGCUGUUUUGAUGAAUUAUAACGGUUUGAAAAAUGGAAUAAAAAGAUAGCCCAUAAAUCUACAGAACACACACAGAGAGAUCCUGUUUCAAGGGACACAGAUAGUUUGAGCAGAACUAGGGGAUCUUUAUGGGGGCAAGAAAAUGAGACAGCUUAAAGGUGGACCUUUAACAAUGAACCCCCUCUUCCCUGCUCCCCCUCUCUGAAACCGUCUCCCUUGGGAAGAAUCGGUUAAGUGUACUCACGGGAAAGUGAGUUUAGGACAUGAUAUACUUCAUUGAUCCCUGGCUAGGAUCUGUGAACUAUAUCUUGUAUUGCCUUUUUAUUUUAUCUUACUUUUUUAAAAAAUCCGAAGCACUACCAAGGAAAUCUGACACCACGCAUCCCGAGGCCAGCUCCCGAGUGAGUAUAUAUGGCUGAUCUGUGACAGUUUCCAAGAGCGUGCAAUGCCUGGCUGCAAUUCAUAACGCUCCUGCAGCUCUGCGAGUACCAGAGAUUACAGGAAUAAGGUGACACUCUCCGUUCAGUGUAUAAAUAGCUCCCUUGCUCAUCUGCUGUGUCCAUUGCACGGCAGCAACAGAACAGGCUAUGUGUGAUGCCUCCCUGCCUCUUUGCCUCCUCCACACUGGGAACAGCUUUCCUUUCCACCAGCAACAGCUUUUCCCGAUUGCCAUGGCAAAAAGUACCAAUGCAAAAAAGGGGCAGCUACUUCCCCCCCACACACACACUUUGUUGCCUCUCCCUCUGGAGAUAAGACUCUGCAGCCUGGGUGACAGCAUCAACUGUUAGGGACCAGAGAUCAACAGAACGUCUGUUUCCUCCGAGCUGACAUUUGUGCCAUCAGCCAGCCCCUGACUCCCAUCUGCAACUCCUUCUGCCCCUGGAGGGAAGAUGCUGGAACCUGGAUGAUGCCUCAGCUGCCAGGUGCUAGAGGAGGCGGCCAUCAACACCUCUACAUAUUCCAAACACAGUGUUCCUCAUCUGUAGGUUUUUUAACCGCAAGCUACAUUAGGAGAACCCAUCUACUUAUUUGUUUUUAAGAUGCACACCUUGUCUUUCGAUCAAAUUACAGUGGUACCUCGGGUUACAGACGCUUCAGGUUACAUACACUUCAGGUUACAGACUCCACUAACCCAGAAAUAGUUGUUGUUGUUUAGUCAUUUAGUCGUGUCCGACUCUUCGUGACCCCAUGGACCAGAGCACGCCAGGCACUCCUGUCUUCCACUGCCUCCCACAGUUUGGUCAAACUCAUGCUGGUAGCUUUGAGAACACUGUCCAACCAUCUCGUCCUCUGUCGUCCCCUUCUCCUUCCCAACAUCAGGGUCUUUUCCAGGGAGUCUUCUCUUCUCAGAAAUAGUACCUCGGGUUAAGAACUUUGCUUCAGGAUGAGAACAGAAAUCGCGUGGUGGCGGCAGCGGGAGGCCCCAUUAGCUAAUGUGGUGCUUCAGGAUAAGAACAGUUUCAGGUUAAGAACGGACCUCCAGAACGAAUUAAGUACUUAACCCAAGGUACCACUUUAUUCUUAAGGCACCCUACAAGGAACAGGAUGUAGGGGGAGGAAUUGAAGCUCAUUGGAAGAGCCAGAGGCUCUAGGGGUACCUAGGGGUUGGUGAAACUAGCCCCUGCAUGGGGAGCAAGCCUGGGAUGCGUGCACAAUAAUCUAAGGUUACCAGAUUUUUUUCCAAUGAAUCUGGGGACACUUUAAUUAAUGAAUUAAUUAAUUAAAUACUACGUUGAUGCUGCAGCGAUGGUGGUGGCAGAGGGGCGGCCGCCACCUUGACCUCAACCACCACGUUUCCCCUUCCUCCGAGGCUUCUAUCUCCUUUCUCCAUGAGCCUGGGCAGCCCCUGAGUUGUUGAUUCUUCAGUAGUGGUGGGGAAGCGGUGCACAGUGGGUCAGGCAUGGAAGGGCCAAGAGCGGAGGCAGCGGCGAGGCCAUCAGAGCAGCCCUAAUCUCAUUCCUACUUGCGUGCAAGCUGGAGGUAGUGGGGAUCCCUCAGCUGCGAAGGGAGAGAUCCCCGCCCCACUCCUGCUUGCAUGCAAGUAGGAGUUGGGAGGCUGCUCCGAUAGGCAGCAUGAAGCCUCCCUUCACAGCUUAGUUGCAGGGGUCAGGGAAGGUGGAGGCAGCCCGGAAGCUGCAUCUUAGAGCCCCUGCACCACCAUCAUAUGGGGACUUCCGAGCAGCUCCUGAAGCCAGCCAGAGCCAACUGCCGGAUCUGGGCUGCUGAGACUGCCACUGCCUCAUUUCCCGGGGACAUUAGAUGAAAUCCAGGGAUGGAAUUUGUCUGGGGACUUAUUCGCAAAUCCGGGGACUGUCCCUGGGAAACAGGGACGCCUGGUAACCCUGCAAUAAUCACCUAUCAGACUAUGGAGUGUAUGACGCUGUCAGGGACUGGAGACAAGAAGAACAGGAAUGGUGGAUAUCGCCUCCCCCUUCUCUUGUAGCUGACAGGGUGGAGGGAGGCCAGUUUGAAUUACAGCCGAGCUAUGAGAUAACUGGCGAGGCAGAGACUAGCGGCUAAGUUACGAAGUGUUAGAAGAAGCAUGGGCGGAGAUAGCCCCAUCAGCGGACACUUCAUUAGACAGCACAGCGUUCGUUAAGGGUGCAACAGCAAUGAAUGCAAAGACAAUUCACUACGGGGGGCCUCCAUAGGGUGAAGUGCCGCUGGGAAAGAGGGAAGGGGGAGGAGCCAGAGUGAGCAACCCCAUCACGGGGAAAGGACUGAAUUCUUUGUCUUCUACUGUAAUGACUGAAUAAAUCAUAAGUCAGAGCUUUCUCGUUUCCUCCCUGAUUCUGGAAACCGUGGGGGGGGGAGAGAAUUCCUCAAGCCUGACAGAUGCAUAUGUUUGUGGCGCCACAUCACUGCUAUCGUAGUGAGAUCGAAUGCAAGAAAACCUUCCCAUCCUUCUUGCACUGCAACUCAAAAGUGUGGGCGAAGGGGAUUUUUUAAUUAUUUUUUUACGGGGUGCCAGUACAGCUCCUUGUAACACACACAUGGACAUUUUCUGCGAAUCUGCCCCCUUUUUUGUCCCCUGCUAUUUAUUUAUUGCCAGUUGUCUUUGUCCAUGGAGUUUUCUUGCCAGGGAUACUGGAGUGGCUUGCCGGUUCCUGCUCCAGGUGGAUCACUUUUAGUCAAAACUCUCCACUAUGACCUGUCCAUCUUGGGUGGCCCUGCAAGGCAUAGCUCAUAGCUUCUCUGAGUUAUUCAAGCCCCUUUGCCACAGCAAGGCAGUGAUCCAUGAAGGGGAGGCAGUGAUCCAUGCCAACAAAGGUCCGUAUAGUUAAAGCUAUGGUUUUCCCAGUAGUGAUGUAUGGAAGUGAGAGCUGGACCAUAAAGAAGGUUGAUCGCCAAAGAAUUGAUGCUUUUGAAUUAUGGUGCUGGAGGAGACUCUUGAGAGUCCCAUGGACUGCAAGAAGAUCAAACCUAUCCAUUCUGAAGGAAAUCAGCCCUGAGUGCUCACUAGAAGGACAGAUCAUGAAGCUGAGGCUCCAAUACUUUGGCCACCUCAUGAGAAGAGAAGACUCCCUGGAAAAGACUCUGAUGUUGGGAAAGAUGGAGGGCACAAGGAGAAGGGGACAACAGAGGACGAGAUGGUUGGACAGUGUUCUCGAAGCUACCAGCAUGAGUUUGACCAAACUGCGGGAGGCAGUGGAAGACAGGAGUGCCUGGCGUGCUCUGGUCUAUGGAGUCACGAAGAGUCGAACAUGACUAAACGACUAAACAACAACAAAAUUUAUUUAUUUACACCCUGCCUUUUUCCCUAACAGGACUCAAGGGAGCUUAAAGAUAAAAACAAGAACUGCUAAAAACACAGGGCGGAAACGAUCAUAAAAAAGUUAAACAGUGAUAGAAUUAAAACUAUAUACGUAUAUGAGACCUGUUUAAUACAUGCCAUCCAUCUUGUUAGGUUUUCUGAGUUCCGAUAUUGUUUCCUCUGUUGUUUCAUCUCUGUAGUGGUUAGCACUUCAGUAGUGUUUCUGAUAUCUCAUCCCUCUUCAGUGGUUCUCAUGUGCUCUGGCAACAUGUGCGCAAGAGGCAGAUGGGGCGUUCUUGUGCUGCCACACUCUCCUGACAACGUUUGUGCCAACUCUUCCCUCUCCCCAGGAUCCACACCUACAGCACAAAUACCUGCCAAAUGGGUUUGUUUCUAAAUAUAUUCCAUGGACAGACUUUCGCUCACCUGCCUGGAUCUGCUGGUCUUUAAGAAAAAGGACCAGGAACAAGCAGCCUAGGGAGUGCAGCUGCAUCUGCACCACCCAUUUAAAGCACAUUGAAAGCGGAGGGCUUCCUCCAGCAACUCCCAGGAGCUGCCAUUUAACCCUCAUUGAGCUAUAAUUCUCAUCAGCACCCAUGGCAAACUACAGCUCCCGGGAUUCUCUGGGGGGAGUCACAUGCCUUAAAUGCACUGCAAAUGUGUGGUGUGUUGAUUAGACAUACACAUUGGCUUUCCACAGAGAACUCGGUUCAGAAACAGUGCAGCGAAUGAGAAAAAUAUAUAGCAGGUGAGAGAGAAAAUAAUGGAAGUGUAAGGCUGUAUUUGCAAUGAGCAUUUUCCAGAAGGCAAUGGCUGGAGCGCAGGGGUUUAUGUGGAAUCACCUUACAAUCCUGCUAGUGUAAUAAAUGGAUUGAUGGGGAUUGUGAGAACAAGAGAAAAAGGCCCAUAUCUGUUCCGGGAGGGGGGGGGGAUAAAGGAUAUCUACACUUUCUGCUCAAUAGGCUGGGGUGGUGAUGGAGGAAAUGGGGCCAUUCUUGACAUCUGCUUCAAUCUGCAAAUUACAAGGGAUGUUGGCUCAUGCAACACGCAGUUGCUGAAGCUGUCAUCAAAAGUGACACAUUCAGAUGAAAACUGCAAAGAGUAGAUUAUCCAGAAUUCAAUCUAAGCAGCUAAGCAGGGAGCAUUUUGAAAAACCCGCACACAUAUUUUGAGUAGAAUUUUAGAAGUUGUGGGAAGGGGGCUUGAAAGUCUUGCUGUCAAAACUGCUACUCAAAGGAGGGAAUCCAGUGGUCCUGCAGCCCUGGAACUGGUUUGUGUUAUUUAUCUUUUUCAUUUCUAUCCCAGCUUUUGCUCCAAUGAGUUCAGGGCAUGCAUGGUUCUAUCCCUCCUCAAUUGAACCUCCACAACAACCCUGUGAAUAGGCUGAGAGGCAGUGAUCGGCCCAAGAUCGGCCCAGUGAGCUUUAUCGCCAAAUGAGAUUUGAACCCUAGUCCCCCAGAUCCUUCCUCUAACCACCAAGGAAGUUCUUUUAGUGAUAAAUCAAAAUCUACCUCUUCUGGCUCCUGUUAGAUCUAGUUUUGCCCUUUGGCAAAGCAGAUGAUCAGCACUGGCCCACCCAUGAGGUGGACUGAAGCAGCUGCCUCAGGCGCCUUAAUCCCAUGGGGCGGUGCCCUCACAGGUGCUCCACGCACCCCUACCACCACCAGGGUUGUGUGGUGAGAUCUUGCCAGAAGUUGCCACCACAGGAGCCAUGUGACCCCAGUAAGUGAGGCUCUGGAAGGGGCAGGGAGGCGGUGUCUUCUCAUUUUGCCUCAGGUGGCGAAACGGGAUGGGCCGCAGUUGCAGAGGACAAGUCUUUGCCCCCCAGAGGCGUUCCCAGCUACUAAAAGGGCUCAGGGCACAGGCCCAUGACACAAAGUCGCAGAAUAUUUGUGUCAGGAGAUGGCAGAAUACAGCACCACUCUCCAUGCUUUGCCUUCAAUGGCCCUACUAGGAAGAAGAAGAAGAAGAAGAAGAAGAAGAAGAAGAAGAAGAAGAGGAGGAGGAGGAGGAGGAGGAGGAGGAGGAGUUUGGAUUUGAUAUCCCGCUUUAUCACCACCCGAAGGAGUCUCAAAGCGGCUAACAUUCUCCUUUCCCUUCCUCCCCCACAACAAACACUCUGUGAGGUGAGUGGGACUGAGAGACUUCAGAAAAGUGUGACUAGCCCAAGAUCACCCAGCAGCUGCAUGUGGAGGAGCGGAGACGCGAACCCGGUUCACCAGAUUACGAGUCUACCGCUCUUAACCACUACACCACACUGGCUCUCCAGGUAAUGAGAUGGAUGGAUCAGAGAGAGACUCUGAGGACCCUGAAGACUUGGGGUGGCAAUGGGGAACUUGUCACAAUUUGGUAACUGCAUCGUAUGGGAAUUUAUAUGCACAGAUGCCUCUGGGAAAUUAGAAAGAAAGGUGGUUGGGGUGUCACCAACACUGCUUUGUAGUGCGCCCACCUCAACUUUUCUAAGUUAAAAAAAGGAGGAAGGGCAGAGAAUCCAGGUUGCUGACGAACCAGGGCUAACCAUGUCCCAUUGCCGCCACCACCCAGCCCCAUCCAUCAGCCAGAGGACAAAGAGCUACUGUGUGGUAUAUUUGGGGUGUUUGUUUCUCAUUGUAUUAUUGCCAUCUGUUUUAAGCCACCUUGCGAAUCUUCAGGUUAAAUAGGUCCAAUCUCUAUUUUAAAAGAAAGAAAGCUGUGUUCUACAUUAUCUGCCAGGAAAAUGGAAAUAAGAACAGGGGUCAUUUAUUACGAUCACCAUUGUUUUCAUAAAACAAAAUAAAAAACCACUCAAAUAGCUACUGUCACUACACUGAAGGUUGUUCAUAGCUUAUAAAGUUCACGUGGAAAAAAAAAUCUUGACAGGAGGGUGGACAUUAAUUAAUCUAAAUUGCAACAGAGAACCUGGUAUUUCAAAUGCUCCAAAACAAAAUGAAUUCUUCCUCAUUAUUAUUGAUAUCAUGAAUGUCAAAGGGAUUAAUAAUUGUUAGCCAGCUGUCACUGGUGUCAAGUGAAAUUUCUUCUAGGACAUUUGAAUUAUUAACUAUUUCUUCAAGCAGAUUGCUUUGGUUUAAGGCAACCCAUGCACCAGGAAUCUUCAAAUAAUCAAGUAAGCAUUCUGGGAGAGAUCGCACAAAGAGGCAAAGGCCCUGAUGUGAAGUCCUUUGGCAGAUCCCCACUAUGGCCCAUUGGCACCCUGAAGUACUCUGAAAAUUUCAAUCAUGGUCAAGAUCUGGAAGCCAAACCACUAAGUAGGCAAAGGUCCAAUAUAUACCAGUACAUGAUUGUUAGACAUGGUUUGGGUGGGAAAUCUGGCUUCCCAAUCCCAUAAUGAGCUAAAACCUUAAGCCAUGGUCAUUCAUGCUUCAGGUACCAUCAAGGAUGGAUGACUUCGUUUCUCUACACAAUAGUGUCUUUGAAAAACAUCUGCAAAUUUAAACAGCAGCAAGAAUACUUAUUGUAAAGUAUUGGAAAACACAAGAUUUACCCACUCUGGAAGAAUGGCAGAUGAAGGUGAUGGACUAUAUGGAACUGGCGGAAAUGACUGGCAGAAUCCGAGACCAGGGAGAAGAGUCGGUGGAAGAAGAUUGGAAGAAAUUUAAAGACUAUUUACAGAAAUACUGCAAAAUUAAUGAAUGUUAGAAUGAUGUUAGAAUGAAGUUAAGUGGUUUUAGCAGCAAUGUUAUAAAGGUGUAUGUAAAAAUGGAUUGUUAACAGGUGAAAAUCCAAAGUUAUAAUAUAUUAAGUUUAAGGAUUAAGACAAAAACAAAGAGGGAAAGGAAUUGCUGAAUUAACUAAUAGAACUGGAAUACAAAAAAGGGAGGUGUGAGGAGGUCAGGGAAGCAAGGAAAUGAAAUGUAAGGCAUGGAAAGAUUGAUGUGUUUUUUAAGUGUUUUUUAUCUUUUUUCUGUAUUUUGCAUUUUUUUCUUUUCUAUUUCUUUUUCCUUUUUUCCUCUUUUUAUUUAUGUAAUCUUUUCUUUGAAACUUUAAUAAAUAUCAUUUAAAAAGAAAAAAGAAAAACAUCUGCAAAUUUAAACCAAUGCACAGUUUUUAGAGCAUAUGAUUCCUUAUCGAUUUCAACAGAUGCUGGUCCACUUCUGAGCUCAAUUCUAUGUUCUGGUUAUUAUUACCUAUAAAACCCUAAACAUCUGGGGACUCCUCCUCUUUGGGACCGCCUCCUCUCACAUGAUCCUGUCUAUCUCCUUAAGUCAGCUGGAGAGGUGGUUUUGCAUGUUCCACCUCCAUCUGAGGUGCAGUUGGUGGAACAUGUGGUGAACUGGCAGAAUCAAUGCAGUACUUCCGCGGGUACAAAUUUUGUACCAUGCCAAACUCAGUGCUAUUUCUUGCGGUGGUUAUUUAAAUUUAUAUACCUUCAUCAAAAAGGCCGCAGGGCCAUUUACAACAUGGUGUAGACCAGGCAUAGGCAAACUCGGCCCUCCAGAUGUUUUGGGACUACAACUCCCAUCAUCCCUCACCAGUGGUCCUGUAAGCUAGGGGUGAUGGGAGUUGUAGUCCCAAAACAUCUGGAGGGCUGAGUUUGCCUAUGCCUGGCAUAGACCUUGGGUUAGAAAAAUUCUAUAAACUGUUCUGCGGCGUCUAUGGAAGAAUGGUCAUAUUUCCAAUAUCAUCCAUACAAAGUAAUCCAAUCAGGCAAAUCAGUUAAGCUUGUGUUCAGAUAGACGGGAGCAAACUUGAGUCAUUGAUGACAGUUCUUUUGAUCAAAUUGCAGCUUAAGAGCUAAUUAAUUGAUUGAGUGGUUGCAAGAAAUUGAGUUUGAUGGCGGUGUUGACAGACUGAGGGAAACAGAUUGAUUUGGCUUUAAAUAAUAUUUAUGAGGAUGACAGCAUGGGUAUAGUAUAGGUUGUCACAGCCUUCAUCAAUUGCCCCGUUCUCUUAUCCACCCUCAUCAUUCUGUCUCUGGUACCUGUCAUGUAUUAGUUUCUAAUAAUAGGUGAUAGGCCAGCUACUUCCAGGUAAAUAUAUACAGUCAUACCUCGGGUUACAGAUGCAUCAGGUUGCAUUUUUUCAGGUUACGGACGCUCCGAAACCCAGAAGUACCGGAACGGGUUACUUCCGGGUUUCGGAGGUCAUGCAUGUGCAGAAGCUCUAAAUCAUGCUUUGCGCAUGCGCAGAAGCACCAAAUUGCAACCUGCGCAUGCACAGACACGCCGCUGUGGGUUGCAAACGUGCAUCCCGCACAGAUCACGUUUGCAACCUGAGCAUCCACUGUAUAUAUAGCAAUCUUAGUCAUACUCAGUGUGGAUCCACUGAAAUCAAUGGACUCUACUCUGCGUAUGACUAACAUUAGUUAUCACCCAAUGAUUCUGUAGUCUUACAUUUAUAUACAUUCUUAUUUCUUUUCUUAAAUCAAGCUGUGUACAAGUCUGUCUUUCAGCUUCUCACCCACACCAGAGGUGUGAGAAAUGAAGAGAUCAGGAUCUUCCAAAACCUGCUUAGGAACUGUCAAGGACUGGGCAGAGGAGGAAUGGUGGAGACCGCCUCCCCAGCUUGACCCUUUCAGGGAGGUGGAGAACGAAGACAGUUUAGAUUUACAACAAGGGUUUGAGGGAGGGAAAGCUGGGAAAUAAUGGGAGAGGAAGAAGAGGAAGAGGAAGCACCAGGGGGGGUGACAGCUGACAGGUACAGUGUCUUUAGAAAGCGUUACACACCCACCCCCAAGAACCAGGCAAGCCUUGAAAGUAGGAGAGCAAAGAGCUCAAAGACAGAGGGAAUAUAGCAGCACCCGUAAAAGAGACCAUGUGAAUGACGAAUGAGGGAGUGGGAGAGAUGGGGAGUGGAGAUUCACUCGGGCAAAGCCAUUAUCCAAGAGGCUGGGUUCUAUAGCCUCUCUCUGUAAAUACUGAGUAAUAAGAGGACGGUAAGAAACUUCUCCAUGUCUAUGUACGUUCCUGGGCAACCAGCCAGGAGUCGCUGGCAGCAGCCUGACAGGAACGAUCGCUCAAAUUCAAAAUGGCUAUUUUUAAACACAGUGGAGAGCUUUGGGCUUUCAAAUUUUAGCAUUGUGGAAUGCUAAAAUUCGGCACCCCCUGCCUCCCACACUCCAUCCGAUAGCGUUGUUGUGGCACCCAGUGCAUCUGAGCUGGUCACACUACCCUAAAGCCACCUCUGCUAAACAUAUUCACAAGUUGAAGUGGAAGGAGGAGCAUGUUGCUUGUGAACAGGGGGACCAUCAUGUAGGCAACUGCAUUCACUUUUUUCAGAUGAUUGGGAUUCCUUAAAGGUCUGCUUCAGGUUCUGCCAAGUGUAAGGAAUCGAUUUUUCGCUGUGGCAACACCUACCUACCCUCUGACUCAGGCAGCACUCAGACAGCACUUCAUUCCAUUUUUCCAAUGUAAAUUUCCAUGGGUUUUUUUUGGGGGGGUGAUCUUUCACAUGACAAAAAAGUCACUUCUGGAAACCUAGAGGAAGUUUGCCACUCAUUUUUGUGUUAAUUUCCUUCAAAGGGGGGAAGAUUACAACCCUGUUAACUCAGAAGAUCAUGGCGGUUUGGGGCUGUUUGACCCACACACACCAGCUCUUUUCACGGAUCACACCACCAUUGUGAUGCAAUCCAUGCAUUUAUUUCUCAACAUUUUCAUGGGAGAACAGAAGGGCACAUGCACAUCAAGGUGUGUGUGUGUGUGUGACAUGUCUGAUGACAUCCACUGUCGUGUCACACUGCAGCCACUGGUAUGAAUGACAUUAAUAAUAAUAAUAAUAAUAAUAAUAAUAACUUAUUCUUUAUACCCCGACCAUCUGGCUGGGUUUCCCCAGCCACUCUGGGCGGCUUCCAACAAAAUAUUAAAAUACUUUGCCUAUUAAACAUUAAAAGCUUCCCUAAACAGGGCUGCUUUCAUAUGUCUUCUAAAAGUCUGGUAGUUGUUUUUCUCUUUGUCAUCUGGUGGGAGGGCGUUCCAUUUAGUGCCAUGUACAGUGGUACCUCGGGUUACAAACACUUCAGGUUACAGACUCCACUAACUUGGAAUCAGUACCUCGGGUUAAGAAAUUUACCUCAGGAUAAGAACAGAAAUCGCGUGCCGGUGGCGUGGCGGCAGCGGGAGGCCCCAUUAGCUAAAGUGGUACCUCGGGUUAAAAACGUUUUCAGGUUAAGAACGGACCUCCAGAACGAAUUAAGUUGAUAACCAGAGGUACCACUGUAGUAGUAUAUUGAUCAAAAUGUCACAGGUCCAUAACACAAAAGGUAACACAGGGUGAAAGGAAUGUUAUAAACCAGGACUAGCAUUAUAACCAGGAAAACUAAUACAAUAAUCCCCACAUCUGAAUGCAACUUCAGGAUUAGGCAGUGUGUGUUUCUUUUUUUUAAAAAAAAAAGAUAUUUAUUGGGGGGGGGAUUUAAAAUUACACACAAAAAAAGAUAAGACAGAAAAAUAAAAAUAAAAAAUAAAACCAUCAUUCUCAAAUUCUCCACUUUCAAUACCUUCUUUCUUUGACCUCCUCCUCCUCCCUUUUCUUGUAUCCUGAUUAAUAAUAAUCGCAGCAAAUCCUUUCCAUAAUUCAUAGUAUUCUGUCAUUACAUUACCUUAAUCUAUUUUCAUCUUAUCUUAUAGAAAACCUUAAAGUUUAAAACUUAAAUCUUAUUUUUACCAACUUCUCCUAGCCAUAACAUUCUUACCAAAUUCUUUAGACAUUUUUACAAGAGCCAAGUAAUUUCAUUUCAACAUUUUUCUAGCAUUCAUCAAUUUUAUAGAACAAUCCUAAUGAUAAAAAAAAGAAAUAAACAAUCCAAUCUUCAUCCAGCGUCCCUUCCUCCUGGUCCCGGGUUUUGUCAGUCCUUUUUAUCUUAUUAAUCUAGCACAUUAACCUGGUAAUCUUAUAUCCGAAGCCCUCAAGUCUCUUCCAUGUCCCUUCCGCAGCUCUUCUUCAUAUUUUCCUUUCAUUCGUGGGAACUCCAGCUUGGUAAUGUUUUUGACCCUUUUCAACAAAUCAGCCCCUUUUCCAUAGUCCAGACUAGACUCCAUGUGGUAUUUAAAAACAUGUUUCAGAUUCCCUCCAAAAUUGAGAGCCCCCACAGCUCCAAACAUCUGACGGCCCAUUGCCAGACUCGAAAAGUCCAAAUCUCCCUGUAUAGGGGGGUCUGUCCAACCCCCCAUUUCCAAACCAAACCAAACUUUAUCUUUCCAAGUCUGGUUUUUCCAAGUUCAUUUAUCAAAUCCAAAAAUUUAUGUUCCUGCUGGGCCGCAGCUCCCUCCGUCUCUGGCGCCCAAGAUUCAGCAGCAUCCUCUUCUCUCAACUGUUCUGUCAUGGCACACUCCUGUUUUAGCUCCUGGGUGGGCUCCAUAUAAUUUCCCACUACCUGUUCAAAGGUUCUGGCCGCAUUAGUCAUCAAAUCCGUCUUCUGGCUUAACUGAUCCAAUAGGGCAUUUAUUUUGCAGAGAGCACCCAACAGUGCUUCUGAAGACAUUGUCCUGCAAGGUCACAAAUCCUUUCCCACGGUUGUAAUCUGUGGCAGCUGCAAGCUCCCAGGAAUUAGUUACAAUUUCACAGUCCCCUCUAGGGGAAAUCUUCUGGUUGUUCUUUCUUUUAAAAACAAUAGCAACAAAGUUUCUUUUUAAGGUAUUUUGUCCAUAUUUGUUCUUUUUAAAAUGCGAAAGGAAACAAUGGAAUCACUAUGUUUCUCUUCUUUUAACUAUCUGUCAAAGACAUUUGUUUCUGGUCAAUGAGCUUCAAACGUCAAUUCUGACACCCCGCUCCAGGAUCAGGACGGUGGAAAAUUACUUUGCUUUAAACUCACUUCUGCAGGUUUAAACAGCCCAAAAAAGAUCCCCUUCUUCUCCUGCUGCCGAAGGGGGGUUCAGCGAUUUUAAAUGAUGAAAGCCAAUCCUUUGAAAGUGAUUUUUAAAGCUCUAGUUUACGUUGUCUUUGCUUUAUUCUGGCUACAAGGAAACGGAAGGCUGACUUCCUGUUUAGACCUUCCCGUUUCAGUACCAAAUUAAGAUAAAUUUUUAAGUCCAAAUUCCUUUCUAUUUCGCCAGUUCUUAUUUAAAGUCCAAAUGUUCAAUGUUCCAGUACUCACGGGUGGUUAUUUUAGAUGCCAAAUUGUCCCAGGAAAAAGGCAGCGCUCUCCGGCAACGGCUAUGCGGCUUCGCUCCGCAGAAAAAGCAAUUGACUCACAGCACCGCGCCACUUCCCCCCCUUCGCUUCGGAGCCCGUUAGUGGGUUCCUUUGCGGGUUGGGGGGGCGCUAAGGGUGCCCGCCGAGUCCCACGGUCACAGGUUUCAUCCGCCUGUGAUUUCCAGAAGGGUCCCCGCUUCGCCGUAGCGGAAAAGACCCGUUUCAUGCGGAGCUGGUCCCUCCAGUUCAGAGGGAGUCCGCCAUUGCCGAUGGCGCCACCCCGGAAGUCCCGGCAGUGUGUGUUUCUAUGUCCACACAUGCAUGUGCAAAAAGAUGUUCAAUUAGACCGCUUGCCACAUAAUUGCCUGAUACCUCCAGUAUUUCUAAAUUCAUCUUACGCUUUUGAUAAUCUACCUUCCUCUUCUGGGAUUGGACCGCUGAUCCUUUUCUACAUUUCUUUCCAUUGUACAUUUAGAACAUUUCAGGCGUUUGUUAGCAACAGACACAGUCCUGGAGUGAACUACACCGUCCUAGCUUUCAUCUGCUGCCAUGUCAAAGAACACCCGUUUGGUUCAUUUGUUAUCUAUUAACACAUGCCAGAAAUGCAGCCUGUGCGCUGGAAGGAGCCAAACCAUCUGGGAAUCUUGUCUUUGAAAAGAAGAAGAAGAAGAAGAAGAAGAAGAAGAAGAAGAAGAAGAUUGUCAAAAGUAAACUGUUAAAUCAUUAUUUAGUCAUCUGUCACUCUGAGUGUGGAAAUAAACAGGCCACUUGAACAGUGAUGGUUAAAUAUUUCAUGUUAUGAUUAUUACCAGCAUUUAUAUCUUCCUCCAGGGAGCUCAGGAUAGUACGCAACAUUCCGUCCCCCCUCCCUUUGGCUCAGCCAAUCACAUGGUGGUUGGCAGCUCAGGAUCAACCAAUGAGAUUCAUAACUGAGUCAGGAUUUGAACCUGAGCCUCCUCAUGCUGAGAACAGCAUGCUAACUGCAAUGGUUCCAAUGCUUAGCUUCAGAUCUAUUGCUUCAAAGUCAGUGAUUCCCAAAGUAUCAAGACCUGAUGCCUGGUUAGCGCCAGCAAGGCUAAUCCAGUUUCCAUACGCGCCAACCUGUUCAGUUUCCAAACCAGGACAUGCAUCUUCCCAUCCAUGCACCUGCAUGAGUCAUGUGACCUGCAUGAGAUCACAGAGCCCCAAAUACACACUUUUUGGGGGGGACGUGCUCUCAUUGGAGGGUGCCAUUUGAGAUCGCAGCCCCCAAAGCGCUUUUUUCAAGGCGCAAUAUUGGGGCAAAAUCGCAUGAAAUUCUGGCAACCAAAAGGGCCGGCGUGCUCUCGUGGGGGAAAACAGGAUGUCUCGUUUUUUCUGGAACAUUUGUGGUGUAUGUAGUUCAGUUCCAUCAUGGACUGAGUCAAGAAACAAGCUGCUCAGCCCCAAUCCCUUGAAUUGGAGGGCCUUGUAUGACACCACAGAAGAACAAGGGCAGGAAAUGCUGCCUGAAUACAUCGGAAGCUGCCUCAUACCACGGCCACAUUCAAACCGUGCACUGAAUGCACUAUGAUACCACCUUAAACAGCCAUGGCUUCCCUCAAAGAAUUCUGGGAGCUAAGAGUUGUUAAGAGACCCCUAUUUGCCUCACAGAGCUGCAGUUUCUGGAGUGGUUUAACAAUCAAUCCCUCUUCUCAGGGAACCCUGGCAUUCUUGUAACCAUUGGUUGGAGAACUGUGUCGUAUUAUUCAGAUAACUGCAUGUUUUGAAGGUUAGCUGGUUUCAGUGUACAUUUGAAAAAAGGGCAAAUUUGAUAGAUUUGCCCUGAAAGAUGAACAGAGUCCAAUAUCUCCCCCAUCCCUAGAUAUAAGUAUUCUAAAUAAAUAUAUAGGGCAUGUUACUGUACUUCAAGGUGUGCUGUGGUGUGCCUUGAAACAGAAAGUCACCAUGUUGGAUAAUAAUAAUAAUUUAUUAUUUGUACCCCGCCCAUCUGGCUGGGUUUCCCCAGCCACUCCACAAAGACCAAAAAUACACUAAGAUGUCACACAUUAAAAACUUCCCUGAACAGGGCUGCCUUAAGAUGUCUUCUGAAUGUCAGGUAGUUGUUUAUCUCUUUGACAUCUGAUGGGAGCGUGUUCCACAGGGUGAGAGCCACUACCAAGAAGGCCCUCUGCCUGGUUCACUGUAGCUUUGCUUCUCGCAAUGAGGGAACCUCCAGAAGGCCCUCGGCGCUGGACCUCAGUGUCCAGGCUAAGCAAUGGGGGUGGAGACGCUCCUUAAGGUAUACUGGGCCGAGGCCGUUUAGGGCUUUAAAGGUCAACACCAACACUUUGAAUUGUGCUCGGAAACGUACUGGGAGCCAAUGUAGGUCUUUCAAGACCGGUGUUAUGAGGUCUCGGCGGCCACUCCCAGUCACCAGUCUAGCUGCCGCAUUGUGGAUUAGUUGUAGUUUCCGGGUCACCUUCAAAAGUAGCCCCACAUAGAGCGCAUUGCAGUAGUCCAAGCGGGAGAUAACUAGAGCACGCACCACUCUGGCGAGACAGUCCGCGGGCAGGUAGGGUCUCAGCCUGUGUACCAGGUGGAGCUGGUAGACAGCUGCCCUGGAUACAGAAUAGAUGGAUCUUUCAGAACGAGAUCAGUGUCUCCAUUUCUCUGUCAGGAUUAGGGCACUGACAUCCCUCUGAGAUGGAGAGAAGGAUGCACUUAGUUGACACAGGAAUAGCCUGUGGCAGCUGAUAGGCAUGAAAGAAUUUCAGAAUUAUUUCCUCAAGGAAGUAGAUAUAACAGCUUCUGUCCGAUAACCACUGAAAGUAUCUUUUGUUGCAUUUUGUGACGCAGUUGUGCGCGGACUCCCACAGAAACCACCCUGCUGUGCCUAACACUGCAAUUUUGUCCCAUAAACAUUUCGGGAUUAUUAUUUUUUAGCAAUGCUAUAUCUUUGGCUCUUCCAGGCAUAGCUUUCUCUGUGCCCGUGCAACUCAGUGGCAAUUGCCAAACCGAAAGAAUGUAAUUCACAUUAAGUAAGUAUGACCUUCUGUUCUACAGAGACGAGAGCAAUCAUAUUCAUCACCGGCCGAAGGAAGUCAAAGCGAACAGCCCUGGGUUGAAUGGAACACUGCCAUCUUCUGUUUUGGCUCAGCAGUUGAUCUAUGGUUCUGCUAGGAUUGAAUUAUGAGUGUAUUACAGGAGGCUGCUGGGUUUCUCCUUUGAAUUGUUGCUGUUUAAAGGCUGGUUUGUUCAUUCAGCAGAAUCAAGUGGCAAAGCUUUUUCUAGAACUGCAAAAUUGGGUCAGGGAGCUCAUUCAGCUCAGUGGGUGUCCAUUUCCAGCUUCUCUCUCACACACAAACUCACCCUACCAUUGCAAGCGCUGCAAGCAAGGAACUCCCAUUAACAUUAUAAUAUAACAAAUAUAAUAUAAUAUAAUGCUUUUGAAGGCAGGCCAAGGGAUAAUGUUGUUGUUGUUUAGUCGUGUCUGACUCUUCGUGACACCAUGGACCAGAGCACACCAGGCACUCCUGUCUUCUACCACCUCCCGCAGUUUGGUCAAACUCAUGCUGCUAGCUUCAAGAACACUGUGCAACCAUCUCGUCCUCUGUCGUCCCCUUCUCCUUGUGCCCUCAAUCUUUCCCAACAUCAGGGUCUUUUCCAGGGAAUCUUCUCUUCUCAUGAGGUGGCCAGAGUAUUGGAGCCUCAGUUUCACGAUCUGUCCUUCCAGUGAGCACUCAGGGCUGAUUUCCUUCAGAAUGGAGAGGUUUGGUCUUCUUGCAGUCCAUGGGACUCUCAAGAGUCUCCUCCAGCACCAUAAUUCUUUGGCGAUCAGCCUUCUUUAUGGUCCAGCUCUCACUUCCAUACAUCACAACUGGGAAAACCAUAGCUUUAACUAUACGGACCUUUGUUGGCAAGAUCACUGCCCCUUCAUGGAUCACUGCCUUGCCGCGGCAAAGGGGCUUGAAUAACUCAGAGAAGCUAUGAGCUAUGCCAUGCAGGGCCACCCAAGAUGGACAGGUCAUAGUGGAGAGUUUUGACCAAACGUGAUCCACCUGGAGCAGGAACCGGCAAGCCACUCCAGUAUCCCUGCCAAGAAAACUCCAUGGACAAAGACAACAGGCAAGGGAUAAUACAAGGCUCAAAAAGGAGAGGAAACAAACUGAAUCAGAAACAUAGAAGCAAGGUGCUGGGGACUGUUUAAUUUUGAAAAUGCUCCAGCAAAACCUUUUUGUGCUAUGUUAAUUGAAGUAUAUGUUAACAUAAACAUUAGCCAUGCUUGGUCACUCCUGGUCUAGGAAUACAAAUCUUGAACCACCCUGAGAUCUAGGGAUGGAGGGCAGUAUACAAAUUUAAAGAAAAAGAAGAGGAGGAGGAGGAAGAGGAGGAGGAAGAGGAAGAAAUGCUUGCCCCAAACACAAAAAGAGGAUUUCAGUCCUGAGAAGCCCUCUCUGUCUUUGUAUUUUUACCAUGUUGGUUUCUGCUCCAAUGUUGGGCAGUGGAACAGAGCAAAAUCAAAGACCAGCUUUACUGGAUACCAUGUUGAGAUUUUUUUAAAAAGUGGAUAUGCACACAAUGGACACCUCUAUCCCCCUGUCAUCUGUACUCUCUCUCUGCUUUGUUGUUUUAGCCUUCUGUUUGAGAAGGUUGGAAAUCACCAGAGGAAAUCCUAGAAGUAAGUGGAAAGAGCGCGACAGAGUUAAGUACCAAGGAUCCUCUGCAAAAUGUUAAUAGUUCUCAGCAUGAUAUUUAGGAGAGAAGGGGAUUUGUUGUGGAAGCUUAAGCCAAUGACAGACAGUAAGAGUGCAUUAAUUAAACAGCGAGAUGUCCUACAGAGACUUGCACAGUAAGCAGAGGUUAUAGCCAAGGUUAUUUUAAUAAAGGACAAAAUAAUGUCGUGGAAAGGGGGUUGCCAAGAAAAGUUCAUUUCUUCUUAGUGAAUAUCCUCCCCCCCCCCCCCCGCCAUAUUUAUUAAUGGAAAAGACAACGUCAAACUCUACGAGGACUUGAACUAUGGGGAAAUGGUAUGAAACCCACAAGCCAAGCCAAGCUGCUCCUAAGUUUAACCUCACCAUAUUCCCCUGGAAUUUCUCUCACGUCGCAACUUAGAAAUGGUGCUUUGCACUCUUAACAAACUGUGUCCUGAAUGCACACAUGUGUCUGCUCAUCCACUGGAUGCAAUCCUGAGCAGAAUAAGGGUUGUACCCAGUGCUCAUCCUACUCAGAGUCGACCCAUUGAAAGUAAUAGACCUAAGUUGGCCACGUACAUUCAUUUCAAUGGGUCAACUCUGAGUACAAGCAAUAUUGGAUUCAGCCCUAAAUCCUCCUCUGCUCCUCUUCCCUGAUUUCCACACAAGAGUAUCAAGCUACGGAAACGGGUGCUUCAGCUCGCCCAUCAAUCAAAGCUCAGCCACUGGUGGCACAGUCCCGAAUGAGAACCAGCUCCUCUCUCCUUUGUUUCCUCUGUUCCGUAGGACAAUCUGCUUCCAUGAAAUAUACACCGAUCCUUCAAAGAGGAUGGACUUGCUCCUUUGAAAGGUCCCACCAAGGGAUUCAAGGUGGGCUUUUGUCAACUCGCUUCCACUUUUCCACCAGCUUUGCAAUGCUCAGUCUGCCUUCCAUGUCGCUGUCACUAAGGAAUGUCUAGGCUGUCCAUCAUAAUGGAGACAUUCAAGUUAUACGUUAUGAUAUUAUUCAUUUGAGCACAUUAAUAUUCCUUCCCUGCUUUUGCCUAAUGAGUUUCUGAUUUGUAAGCUUUCCCUACUCCCAACCUGGCUCUGCCACUGCCCAGGCAGCUAUUGUUUACUUCCUAUAAUCCUUCUCAGGGUGCCUUCCGUUGUCCCUCCUCAUAUCUUCUCAAUGCGCCAUUCAUCCUGGAAAACAUUUAUCGAGGAUUAAUUUGCAAUAAAUUGCUGCCGUACCCUCAUCUUACUGAAGUCUCUGGUAGGAUAUAGAUUGUCCUUCUGUCAAAGAGCUAAGGGUAAAACCAUUAAUCUAACUCUGUCCCACUCCUCUUCUUCCCGCUUCCACAGAGGACGGGAUUUGCAUUCUUUAAAAAUAAAAUAUGGCUCUGAUUAUUCAGCUUUGAGCUUUUUGUUUAGCGUCAGGCUGAAAGCAUUUGCCCCAAUCCAACUGGUGGAAAUGUGCCUGGCAAGGGAUGCUGCCCAUGUAUUUUUCUGGGCUGAACUAUCAAUAUGUCAGGGUUGGGCCACGGUAAUAGUCUGAGAUAGGAGCUGGGGAUAAAUUCAAUUCAGGUUACAUUUAAAGACAAAUCUGUCAAGUUCACACUUUCUGAAACCAUUUGAAGACAGAACCGUGGCCAUCCUUCAAAAUUUGCUUAGAUGAAAAUAUUACAAUACAGUACUCCAAUCAAAUAAUUUUUACCCCCCCCAAAAAAACACAUAUCAGAGGGAAUUGUGCAUAAAAUUCAAUAUAUUCAUGAAAAUGACGUUUGUUGUGUUAUUUUGCUUGCAAAAUUGUCACCUAUUUACGCCUGAGAGACGUUACUGAGGCAAUUUUUCGGUGAGCAUGGCUAACUGUUCUCAUUAUAAAUAACCUAGAAAUGGGACAGCAGUUAUUGGGGGUAUAUUUAUUUAAAUCAGUUAGAGAAACAUCAUUAAAAUUGGGGGGGGGACUGUCAUGUGAGUGCAGCUUAUGUCAGCUGCUGAGCAUCUACCAUUACUUGACUGAAUAAAAUUCUCUCCCAUACUUACCAGUAAGAGUCGCUUUCUGCAUGUGUCGGAGCGCAGUCAAAACCUCAGGCUUUCAUCUCUCUCUUACCCCCAAUGCCUGUGUUGGGAGCCCUGUGCAAAAGUUAGUAACAACUGUGCAUAGCCUGCAUUCAAGGGACACCGUCUGCCAACAACAAGCAUUCAACUUUGUUCGACUGGUCAUGUUGUGCAGAUGCCUGAUGAUCGUCUUCCAAAGCAACUACUCAAUUCUGAACAUAAAAAUGGAAAGUGUAAUGCUGGUGGUCAGCAAAAGAAGUUUAAAACUCUCUCAAGGCAAAUCUAAAAAAUGUAGUAUAAACACCAACAACUGGGAAACACUGGCCUGCGAGAGCUCCAGUUGGAGAACAGCCUUUACCAAUAAUGUCAUGGGCUUUGAAGACACUCGAACUCAGGACGAAAGGGUGAAACGUGCUAAGAGGAAGGCACACUUGGCAAACCCUCACCAUGCUCAACUCCCACCAGAAACCAAUGUCCCCACUGUGGAAGGACGCGUGGAUCCAGAAUUGGCCUCCACAAUUACUUAUGGACUCAGUGUUAAGACCGUGUUCAUGGAAGACAAUCUUACUCGACUACGAGUGAUCGCCAGAAAAGAAGAAGUUUCCUUCCUGGAACCAACAUGACAAGGUUGCUUUCAUUUGUUUGUGAAUUGCCUGGGUCUUUCUUCUUGAAAUGAAAGGCAGCAUGUAAAUUAUUCUAUUAAUAUUAAGUAAAUAAUAAUUGGUAGUAAACUGAUGAUAAAGCACACCCCCAUAUUCAGGCAGAGGACAAGGAUUGCUGGACCCGUCUUGGUCGUUUCUGGCUCAAGAACUUGCAUUGGCACAUGGAUGCAUCUUUCCCCGUUUGAUGAAGUUGAUGAGCUAUAAACAGUCACAGUGACUGGCUUUUGUUUGGCUUCAUCAUGUGCUGUUGUCGUGACCUCUGCAGAACAUGAACAAUGUUUAGUUUCAGGCACAAAGGUUACUGCUUCUUUUAUUUUUAAAAUAAUAUAUCAACUCUGCCAAAUGCAGAGAGAUCCUGUGGAGGUUCUUUGAGCCGAGAUCUCAUUUGCCCUUGCUGCGGGAAGUUUGUCUGCAUGCACGCUCCCCACUGCCACAACUUAAAAAAAUAAAAUAAAAAUGGCCGCACCGUGGUACCUGCAGGCCCAUUCCACCCAGGAAGAGGGAACUGAUCACUCCAGAGCAACCACUUCAUGCAGCAUUUAAGGACAUUAAGGACCCAGUAAAUAUGUUGGUGCAGCUUACGCUUCCAGCAUGCUAAGUAACUGCCUUUGCUGCUCCCCACUGCAUAUCUUAAUGAAAUGCUGACAGUUUGGCACCUCAUUGGAUAACAGCAUUCCGGAGUAUCAGUCACAACUGACAGCUGUUCAGGAAAAAGUGUACAAAAUAAUCUCAGAGACAGGAGCUUCGCCACGGCCGCACGGUGCAUUAUUUAUAUCCUAGUUAUUGGUGGCAAAAGAAAGCCAACAUUUUAGGCACAGAACAUCUUUAGAUCUAGCAGGAAAUGAUGCACCACCAAUUUGUCACUUGGUACACAAGGGUCUGUGCAAGGUUUUAAAAGCAGCAUUUGCAACUGCCCCCGUCUCUGGUGCCGGGCUGGGCGUAAGGGGAAAUGGUGAUUUUUUUACUUGUAAGGAGCAGGCAAAGGGCAUCGUCUCAAAUCUCAGGUCUCUAGUGCUUGGUGCUAAGGCAGGAAAUAAAAGAUCCCUCUGGCUGGCCUUUAGAAAGGAUCUCGAAACUUACAGCCUGGGGAGCCUGCUGAAGCUGUUUGUUGGCUUGUGGGGAAGGCUGUAGCUGGAGGCGAGGGGUGAUCCUUUUGCAAGAUCUCAGCAGGCCCUGCAUCUCAUGCAGCCUGGCAGGAUUGUGGGGCGGCCUUUAAAAGGACCAGUCACAAUCCUGCCUAGGCUUCCUGAUUUGAUUUAUUAUAUUUCUAUUUUGCUUUUCAUUCAAAUCCCAAAGUGACUUACAAACAGUGGAAAACAAUAACAUGGUAGAAUCAUAGAAUGAUGGAACUGUAGAGUUGAAAGAGACCCGGAGGGUCAGCUGGUCUAACCCCUGCAAUGCAGAAAUAUUUUGCCCAACGUGGGACGCAAACCCAUGACGCAGAAACUACAACUAAUCCAGAAUGCGGCAGCUAGACUGGUGGCUGGGAGCGGCCGCCGAGACCACAUAACACCAGCCUUGAAAGCUCUACAUUGGCUCCCAGUAUGUUUCCGAGCACAAUUCAAAGUGUUGGUGCUGACCUUUAAAGCCCUAAACAGCCUUGGUCCAGUAUACCUGAAGGAGUGUCUCCACCCCCAUCGUUCUGCCUGGACACUGAGGUCCAGCACCGAGGGCCUUCUGGUGAUUCCCUCCCUGCGAGAAGUGAGGUUACAGGGAACCAGGCAGAGGGCCUUCUCAGUAGUGGCACCCACCCUGUGGAACGCCCUCCCACCAGAUGUCAAAGAAAAGAACAACUACCAGACUUUUAGAAGACAUCUGAAGGCAGGCCUGUUUAGGGAAGCUUUUAAUGUUUAACAGACAAAGUAUUUUAAUACUUUGUUGGAAGCCACCCAGAGUGGCUGGGAAAACCCAGCCAGAUGGGUGGGGUAUAAAUAAUAAAUUAUUAUUAUUAUUAUUAUUAUUAUUAUUAUUAUUAUUAACUCUGAGAUUAAAAGUCUCAUGCUCUACUGACUGAGCUAGGAAGAGCCAGGUAGAUCUAGCAGCAGCAGCAACAACAACAAUAGAUUUCGGGUGUAGUGAAUUAAUUGUACACUAUCCCUCUGAAAACAACCCAGACUCCGGCUUCUCUCUUUCCUUUUGGUCUAGUAGAAACCCUUCUAUUGGUCUGUACCUUAGAGUCCUGCUGGGGGAUUGCAUAGAACCCUAUUUAAUUUACUUGUUUUAUUAAUGUGUGUGAAGCCAGAAUCAGUAGCUAAGUUUCUUUUUUAAAAAAAUAAUAAUUUUAUUAAAGAUUUAAACAAAACAUAUUAUCCAAAAACAUGUCAUCCUUAAUUUUCCCCCAUUUUCCUCCCUCCUCCCUCCCCCCACCCUCCCACACAAAACCCACCCAUCCCCACCCCCGACUUCCCUCAGUUCCAGUCUUUGGUUUCUUUGUAAAUGCUGUUCUCUGAAUGUUACAAAGUUUAUGCAAAACCUGCCAAGGAGUACAGUUCACUUUGUUGCAUCUUCAAUUACUUUGUAAAGGGUUCCCAUUCAUCUUUAAAGUCACAGUUAUCCUUGUCCUGUAGCUUGUGUGUCAGUUUUGCCAGCUCUGCAUAGUCCAUCAAUUUUUCUUGCCAUGAUUCUUUAGUUGGAAUUUCUUCAGUCUUCCAUCCUUGUGCUAUUAGGACUCUCACAGCCGUUGUCGCAUACAUGAAGAUGUUUUUCAAUUUUUUUGGCGGGUCUUUCCCUACAAUCCCUAACAAAAAUGCUUCAGGUUUUGAAACAAAUGUUAAAUGGAACAUUUUCUUCAAUUCAUUGUAUAUCAUUUCCCCAAAAUUUUUAAUUACAUUACAGUCCCACCACAUAUGAUAAAAUGUCCCCUCCUUUUCCUUACACUUCCACCAUAUAUUUCAACUAGUUUUGUACAUUUUCCCUAACUGCACUGGUGUCAUAUACCAUCUGUACAUCAUCUUCAUAUAAUUCUCCUUCAACAGGGAACAGAAUCAGUAGCUAAGUUUCAACAGCCAAUGUUUGGUGCUAGAGCUUUCAUGGCCACCUCGUCCCGCUGGAAACAGACCACAGACCAUCGGAAAGCAUCCUCAAAAAUCAUCUCACUUCAGCGCCACCAAGACCUCAAUGUAUGAUUCCAAAGCUCUGCAGAGUCAAACACAAAUCUGGAAAGAAGAACAAAAAGACUGCAGUCCCCCAUCUCACAGUCUUGCACAAUUUGCUAAAGAGAAACAUUUGGGCCCGGUGACCAAGAACCACUGAAAGGUUGUACCUCCUGCCUAAUGCCAGUGGGUACUCAGUUCCAUAAGGCAGGUCCUGCUGCGCUAAAGGCAGAACAUCACAGCAAGGGAAAGACUCCCCUGACCCCAUCUACUGGCCUGAGAAGGAAUAGCUGCCAGGAAUGGGAAGCUCCCAUCCUUGCCAAAGGCCAGCUUAUUCUUGGUCUGUAAUACAUGUUCUGUUUCCAUCCAUCAUUCAGAGGGCUAAAAUGUAUAUUGUGCUUGUUAUUAUUCGUAUGAGCUUCUUGUAAGCUGCCUUCAGAAUCAUUUCACUGAAAGGCAAGGUAUAAAAUCUUCAAAAUAAGAUGGGAUAGCUCAGUCAGUACAACAUGAGGCUGAUGAUCUCAGGGUUGUGGGUUCAAGCCCCAGGUUGCACAAACGAUUCCUGCACUGCAGGGGGUUGGACUAGAUGACCCUCGUGGACCCUUUCAACUCUUUCAUUCUAUGUUUUUAGGAAAUAAGUAGAUUGGCUGUCAACGGGGCAGCCAAGAGGCAGGUCCAGAGGGUACUAGUGUACCAGGCCUAAGGACACCUGUGAACCUGAGACACGAAGCUUUCAUUCUGAAAAAGAAUAAGUCUCUUGCCCUCCUAGAAAGAAAAAUAUGAAGCAAAAUGUGCAGGUAACUUUCUGUGAAAUGUGCCAGUCUUGCUGCUUCUACUUUUCAGUGUUUUCAGCCAAUAAGUGAAGUCAUUGUUGUGAUUGACAAGUGAGAUGUUUGGACACCAGGUGAUAAGAAUCACCAAGGUCCUAAAGCACAGAUUCAGAUUUAGAUUUAUUACGGCCAUUGGCCCAUAUCAAAAACAAUACAUCAGAAUUUAUCCAUAAACAAUACAAUUUAAACAGUUCCAAGUUAAAACACCCUUAUAAAACCAAUUUUACUUUAGUUAAGUAAACACUAUACACAAUAAGCUCCCUCUAUGUAAACCACAAUUCCGAUCCAUCAGAUUUUGGGGGGUAUACGUCUUAGUUCUGGCACUUAUUGAUGGUUCUUAAGUUUGGCUAAGCUGUCAGAAACAUACAGUGAUCCAUUUCUCCUCUUUUGAAAUAAAACAUUAAUCAGGUAUCUAGCGAUUGCAAGGGAUCUACUUGUAUCUUCGUCGUUUAAUAAGUAUAUUAUUUGGGCUUCCUGAGGACUGUCAGCAAUUCUCGAUAAAUAUGGGGCCAGAAACUUGGACCGUGAAGCCGAAUGUAAUGGACAACAGAAGAUUAUAUGAUAUAACGAUUCUAUAGAUCCGCUUUUACAGUCACAGAGGAGUGAGAUCUGUCCGUUGUCCUAAAGCACACCUUCCAAGUGUCUCUAUUUUCCAGGGACUUUGCUGAUUUAGGGAAGCCGUUCCAGUUUCUGAUUUGAUCCCAGAAUGUCCCACUUUUCCUUAGGAUGUCCCUAUUUUCAUUGGAGAAAUGCUGGAGAGUAUGGAGUUAUCUGACCCUCGAGCUGUCUGAAGGCAAUCUUGUAUAGGGAAGGGUGUCUUUUUUAAUGUUUAAUGUUUUAUUACGUUUUUAUAUAUGUUGGAAGCUGCCCAGAGUGGCUGGGACAACCCAGUAAGAUGUGUGGGGUAUAAAUAGUAAAAUUUUCAUUAUGGGAUCAUUAUUUUCACUGGAGAAAUGUUGGAGGGUAUGAAAGAGCUGCUGUUUUCCCCUCCCCAUUGCAUUUUCACUGCUUCUGUCUCAUAUUCCACUCCUUGAAAGCUGGAAGUACAAGUGUACAUGGUCCCAUGACUCUUCCUCAUCUCCACCAGUCCGUCAAUGGAAAUGGCAAAGACAAAGGCAGAGAGUGCUGUUGAAUUGAGCUUUCCUGCCCAAAAAACCACCACAAGGACAGAAUGGCCUGCGCAAAAACAGCAGGUUCCUAAAUCAAUCAACAAUCUUGAGCAGGUGAUAAACACAGAGUGUUGCCCAUGAUCAACACUCUAGUAAUAAAGUUUCCAGUUGCUUAGGAAUUCUAAGAAACCAAAAGAUUUCAGUGCGGCUUUUAAAUCAGUGGUUAAAAUCAGAGCAGUUUUGAUAGGUUCAAUCUGCCAUCUUGAAUCAAAAUGGCAUCCAAAUAUAUUCAGACAUAGACGAAAACCUCCUCCUUGAUCUUAGGAAGAGUGGCUGGGGAAACCCAGCCAGAUGGGCGGGAUAUAAAUUUGUUGUUGUUGUUGUUGUUAACCAUCAUGCAAAACGUAAUUGUAGCCUAAGAUUUACAAUGCAUAACGAACACACAACUUUCCUAAAUAUAAGUAGUUCAUAAUUUAGGAUCAUUUUGGUGUGCUCAUCCUCCGUUCUACCCCAUAAAUAUCUUUCCUAAAUACUUGACAAAGAAAACCAAGGCUCAACCCUAUAUUUAAAUGAUUCCUAUUCCUAAAUUUUGUCUGUGAGCCUCCCAGCCAUUGGACAGGAUUGUUCCUUGUUGUUGUUUGGUUCUUGCCAUCCCACAAAAAGGUCAUGCCUUUCUUUUCUCAUACCCAAGUAGGCCAUUUGGGCCUUAUUUUUAGAAAGGAUUUAUUCAGGUAGUAGCAGGUAACCUUUCUUACACACUGUAUUGAUUGCACUGCAACGUCUCAGGCUGACAAGGUGAAAAUGGCUACAGUAUUUUACAGUUUACAGUGCUUGUUUAUUUACCUGCUUAUGUAAUACAUUCGUGCACUGCCUGGGCUUGACUGAUUUAUUGCUUGCGGCCUGGCUAGGGGAAUUUCUUCAGCUGCUUGCUUAUAUGCGGCGCUCUCUGUGAAUUAACAAAUUACGGAUAAGGAAUUCACCCAAGAGCAUUGUGUCUGCGCUUUGUAUACGAACAGCAGGUGUGGGUGUGAAAACUGUUCCUAGAAUCAUAAUGCUGGACUGGGUGAUCCUUUAGUUUGAUCUAGUUCUUACUGCGGAAGACUGCAGCUAUUUAUUAUCUAUUUCAUAAAAGUAUUUAUUUGCCACCCUCUCGUAAAAUAUUAGAGAGGUGUAUAGCACAAAAAAACACAAAACGCUGUUAAAAAACAGUGCAAAAGAAUCAUUAAUGUGGUUGGCUAAUCAAAUAAUGUUUUUGUUAUGUACUGAAGUUCUCACCCUGGGCCAGCAGGGGGAUACUGUAGAUAGUUUUCACUCAGGUCCACAUAUGCAAAUAAGGGAUUGAAAGUGAUGUUCAGUGAUUGGAUACUUACAGAAAGUGGUUACUGCUGCGUUGUACUGGAGCUCUAUAUAAGCAGGCUGGCUGAACCCUUCAGUUCAGUUCUGUUCUGGCCUGUGAAUAAACAAGAGCUGUUUGAAGAAUCGCUGUGUCAUCUGAUAUGUUCACCCACAACUUAACAGUUUUAACAGCAGCAAAGGCCUGUUGUACUUGUAGUUUCCAAGUCGCCUUCAAAGGUAGCCCCACACAGAGCACAUUGCAAUAGUCCAAGUGGGAGAUAACUAGAGCAUGUACCCCUCUGUCGAGACAGUGCACGGGCAGUUAGGGUCUCACAUACCCUCCAACAUUUCUCUGAUGAAAAUAGGGAUGUCCUAUUCCAUCGUCAUCAUUGUUGUCAUCAUUUUAUUAUUUAUACUCCACCCAUCUGGCUGGGUUACCCCAGCUACUCUAGGCAGCUUCCAACAUACAGUGGUAGGUCGGGUUACAUAUGCUUCAGGUUACAUACGCUUCAGGUUACAGACUCCGCUAACCCAGAAAUAGUACCUUGGGUUAAGAACUUUGCUUCAGGUUGAGAACAGAAAUCGUGCUCCGGCAGUGCAGCAGGCCCCAUUAGCUAAAGUGGUGCUUCAGGUUAAGAACAGUUUCAGGUUGAGAACAGACCUCCGGAAUGAAUUAAGUACUUAACCUGAGGUACCGCUGUAUAUAAAAACAUAAUAAAACAUUAAACAUAAAAAACUUCCCUAUAGGGGGCUGCCUUCAAAUGUCUUCUAAAGGUUGUAUAGUUACUUAUCUCCUUUGCUUCCGGGCUGCAUAACUCUAUACCCCCCAAAAUUUAUCCAAUGAAAAUAGGGACGUCCUAAGGGAAAGUGUGACCAAAUUCCGGAAUCAAAUCAGAAACCAGGGCGGCUUCUGGAAAACAGGAACAUUUGGAGGGUCUCAGCUGACGUAGCAGAUGGAGCUGGUAGACAACUGCCCUGGACACAGAAUUAUCUGUGCUUCCAUGGACAGCUGUGAGUCCAAAAUGACUCCCAGGCUGCACACCUGGUCCUUUAGAGGCACAGUUGCCCUAUUCAGGACCAGGGAGUACCCCACACCUGCCCACACCCUGUCCCCCAGAAACAGUACAACAGAUUCACCUCAAUCCAUUGACCACCAUCCAACCUCCAACCACCUCCAGAUACCUACACAGGAAAGAGUUAUCGCCCUUAUGUCCUGCUUAUGGGCUUCCCCAGAGACAUCUCAUUGGCCACUAAAGGGAAAAGGAUGCUGGACUAGACAGGUCUUUGGUCUGAUGCAGCAAUGUUCUUUCGAUAUUCCUAUGCACAGUGCAGCUCUCAGGUAUGUGCCCAGCCACAGUCCCACUGAUAUUUUUUUUAGAAUGUGCUCCAAGCUAAUACUUUAUUAAUGCAUCCUAUUUGCCCUCAAAUGUGAGUGGCUGCUGCUGUAUGAGAAGCUAUCGAUUAUUAUUUUGGCCUGCAAAACAACAAUUUUGAAUCUAAUCACUCAGAAGCUUUGGAGAAAAGUAACACGAGUAAAAGGGAAAGCAUAUUGCUGAAUAAUAAAUGAAACAUAACCAUUGAGAUUAUGGUAGCGAGUCAAAGAAAGGUGACUCAUAUUUCUCCUUAGUUUUUAGCAGAAGGUUUAGACUUCAGCUGGGCAGAAGUAGGACCUAUGCCUCCACUCAGCGAUCUGACUUCUUCCACAAAAUAUUACUAUCAUUGAAGAGGGACGCAGGUGGCGCUGUGGUCUAAACCACUGAGCCUCUUGCGCUUACCAAUCAGAAGGUCAGCGGUUCGAAUCCCCUUGACAGAGUGAGCUCCCGUUGCUCGGUUCCAGCUCCUGCCAACCUAACAGUCUGAAAGCAUGCCAGUGCAAGUAGAUAAAUAGGUGCUGCUGUAGCGGGAAGGUAAGCGGCAUUUCUGUGUGCUCUGGUUUCCGUCACAGUGUCCCGUUGUGCCAGAAGUGGUUUAGUCAUGCUUGCCACAUGACCCAGAAAGUUAUCUGUGGACAAACGCCGGCUCCCUCGGCCUGAAAGCGAGAUGGGCGCCACAACCCCACAGUCGUCUUUGGCUGGACUUAACCAUCCAGGGGUCCUUUACCUUUUUUUACCUUUACAAUUAUCAAGGAGACGUGACUUUGAAACUGCAGUGACAUCUCAGAAUAAAACUACAUGCUUAUGCGGCAAAGAGGUAUAAUUCCAAAGCCCACAAUUAAUCAAUGGAAUGGAAUGUUUAUAUUUACAGCAACAAACUAAUAAUAAUAAUAAUAAUAAUAAUAAUAAUAAUAUACUUUUAAAAACCUCGGUAUGUCUAAAGCCACUAAAUUUAAUCCUGGUUGCUGUCAGCGCCUCAUCCCUGCUGUCCAUACGGCUGCAAAGGAAUGAAGCAGGGGCAGUUAGAAAAUGAAACCAACAUUAGGCAAAACAAGCUAUGAUUACUUUGUCUGCAAGCCUAAUCCUGGUUUAUGCAACAAACCAUAGUUAAAGCAAACCACAGGUCAGCAUUACAUGCAAAUGCAGCCAGCAGUCUAGAUUUUAAACAAAACUUAUAAAAGUAUUUUUGUGUGAUGUUUUAGCAGAUUCAGUACAUUUGAAUCUAUUAAUCUCUGACCAAUUGUUCAAUUAAGUGUUGCUUCUCUAGUAAAGAUUUUUCAAAUAACCUUAGAAGAGGACAGGUGCCUUUCCCAAGUCAUAUCAACUUGCUCUGAACAGGAUUAGAUGACGCAGUUAGCUAGAGUAGAUGGCUAAAGCAUUAAAUUGCAAGGUUUAAAAGAUCUACUCCUUGCUUUAAUAUCACAGCUUCUGUUUCUUCUGUGAAGCAGCACCACGGAACAAUGUACCAAAGUAAUUUUUUUUUUCUGCCAUAGGUGAAAUCCUGGUGGUGAUUUAUGAUCCAAGCUUUAACAGUGACUUGGCAACGCUCGUGGAAGCCGAAAUCCAGAGCACAUCUUUCCUUUUGUGCUCUGUGAUGUGAGUGUAGUGCACAGUAAAGGCAGGCAUAAAUUGUAAUUUGUCCAAUAUAACUAAGGAUAAUCUCCAGAAAAGAAUUAAUAAGUUUGUGCUGAAUCAAGAGGCACUACAGCGAUGGCAAGGUUGAUUGAAACUCCACACCGCAUUUUAAUCACAGUAAUGCAAUUACAAGCUUUUUUUCCCUUUUAUUGAAAACAAAUGCUGUCCUUUGAAAAGAAGAAAAAGCCAAAGAAUGCCAUUAAUUAUUGGUAAUGAUUUUUUAUCUCUCUUCUAAUGGUCGAGCAAAAUGAAUGUGAAACGCAGGCCCGUAAUUAAAAGAGGCUCCCAAGUGAAAGCAUUGCACAUCUCCAAUGCAAAUUCUUCCGUUCCCAAAUCAUCGUUACCGAAAAUGAUGCAGCACUUCCCAUUCAGGAAAUUCUACAAGAUUAAGGCCUGUGGCAGAGAUAAAAACAAGAAAAAGGAGUCAUGUAGGCAGUAGUGAUGAGUGCCUGCAGUCUCUUUGUGGUAUACAGUAUUAACAAGCGUGGGUUUUCAAACCAUGACACUUUGACAUCAGGUGUCCAUUUCUCCUAAGCAGUGGUGAGGUGCCAACUGUUCAGUAAGUACAGUAGAGUCAAAUUAUUUGUGUGUGUGGCUUUUUUAAUGCAUUGUAGUUUAUUAAAUGUACAGUGGUACCUCGGGUUAAGUAUUUAAUUCAUUCCGGAGGUCUGUUCUUAACCGGAAACUGUUCUUAACUUGAAGCACCACUUUAGCUAAUGGGGCCUCCCGCUGCUGCUGCGCCUCUGGAACACGAUUUCUGUUCUCAUCCUGAAGCAAAGUUCUUAACCUAAAGCACUAUUUUUGGGUUAGCGGACUCUGUAACCUGAAGCGUAUGUAACCUGAAGCGUAUGUAACCCGAGGUACCACUGUAAAUGUAAAAAUCAGCUUAUUGUCCUGGACUGGUUGGCCUCAGAGAAAUGGUGCAAAGAACCAGCUGGGAAACCCCCAAGACUGUGGAUUGGUGGUUGGACGUUGAUGAGUAGUCAGAGGGAGAAGACGGAAAAGGAAGCUGGAGAGGUAACAGGGCUUAGUGAGCAGGGGGAGUCUGUGGCAGAGAGCAGUCCAGAAUCAGAGGCAGAAGCAGAGGCUGGAGAGGAGGGAGGCCAAGAGGCAGAGAUGAGUCCAGCUGGUGAAGAGUCACAGGUGUCUCCCCUUCCUGCUGUGACAAGCUCCCCUCCCCCUGGUCUCCCAGAACCAGGAGAGGUGUGAAGAGGGUGGAGAAGUUAGCUUCAUGCAGACACAGUUUCCAACUGCUUGGGGAAAACCCUGGAGAGGAGACUAGGCAGCUGUGGGGAGGUGAGGACAUUCAGUCUCAGCAGCUGCUUCAUGAAGGCAAGACCUACUGGAGAGAAGUUGCUAUGCUCAUUAGGCCUGAUACUCUUGUGCAGAUCCUGUUUUUGCUAAUAAAGCAUUAACUCCGAUUUACUUGGUAUGUUUUACUGCCAGCUCACUCCCAUCACUCAUUCUGCAUUACUCUAGUAACCCAUUCUUUGUAACUUUGGGUUGGGCUGUAGCUCCGUGAGACAGCUUCUCCAGACACGACUGAGAGAGACUCCUGCCUGAAUCGAUGGAGAGCUUCUGACAGUCAGUGUAGAAAGCACUGACCUAGAUGGACAAGGGGCUGGAAUCAGUAUAAGGCAGCUUCUUACAUUUCUAAUCCUAAAAUAUCAUUCGACAGUAAAGCACGCACAAAAGGUGCAGAGGAAGAAUGACCACCUGGCAGGCGUGCCAACUUUAUGAGGCUGGGGUGCCUUGGGCCCUGGCAAUAAUUUUCCUCUGGAGGCCCAGUCCCCUCAGGGGGCCACCCCCCCCAAAAAAAAGAUCAUGGUUGCAACCAGAGCACCGGCAAGCACGACUGGUCAGCGGCAACAAGCAAAGAAGAGUCGGGUGCCUGGCUGGCACCUAAGGUAAGGAGGGAGGGAGGCUGGCAGAGCAAGCACCCCGUAGAGAGAAGGAACACCGUGGUGCAGCGGCAGCAGCGCAACCGGACGCCUUCAUCUGCGCCAGCUGCAAAGCUCAUUUCCAUCUGGCCUAGGGGGCGGGGCCCACACUCACCUUGAACAGCCCUGAGAGGGCAAUGGGACAUUGCUGGAACAACUCGUGGUUGGGGCAACUGGUUGAAAUGUUUUGAAAUGUUUUAAACGGUUCUAAUUUUGCUUUCUCUGUUUCGUUUUUGUUGGGUUAGUGUUGGUUAAAUGUUUAGUUGGGGUUGGCGGUUACUUUAAUUUGGGUAUAACUGUAAACUGUGUAGUAAUAUUAUUGUUAUUGUUGUUAUUACUGUUAUUGUUGUUGUUGGUUUCUAUUGGUUUCUUGGUUUGUUGCUUGUAUAGGAUAUUUUGUUUUUAAUGUUUGAUGUUUAUACACACACACACACACACAUAUAUAUAUAUAUACAUAUAUAUAUAUAUAUGUUGUAAGCCAACCAAUCAAAGUGGCUGGGUAAACCCCGCCAGAUAGGCGGGAUAUAAAUUAAAAAUUAUUAUUAUUAUUAUUAUUAUUAUUAUUAUUAUUAUUAAAACAUGUCUCUCCUACAUUGGCCUCUACAGCCACAGCAGGUGCCAAGAGUUUGACUUCACCUCCAAAGGCGCACUCCUCUGUUGUCUCCUGAGACCAGGGGUGCCAACAAAUAAAAUACGGGGGUGGGAAGGUAAGCCUCGCUCCACAUAAUCAAUCACAUGACACGGUCACGCACACCAUUUUAAUGCCAAUGCCCAUUAACUGGGGGGGGAGCCCCCUCAAAUAUUUUAUUGUGGGGGCUGAAACCCCCUUAGCCCCAGGAGCUGGUGCCUAUGCCCGACACAGAUGGACGUCAACAACUUGUACAGCCAUUAGGGUUGGAAGGAAAUAUCCUGGCAGAGUUUUGCAUAUUAGAAUCAUAGAUUUGUAGAAUUGCAAAGUUGGAAGGGAGCCAUGGGGUCAUCAAGUCUAACCCCCUGCAAUGCUUGGAAUCUCAACUAAAGCACCCUAUUGCUAAACUAUUAAUUUUUAUCCUUUUCUGAUACCGGCUGUGUUUGCCACUGCAAAAAUAACCAUUGCUCCACAGACUUGCACCAUACUACAAAUCAUGCGGCUGGCACAUGAGAAGGGCAAUGGAGCAUUGCCGUACCGUUGUCUGCGCCGUUGAUGCAGCGCAUCCCGCCAGCCGAGAAGGCAGUUGGAAAAGCUGCGUCAUAAUAAUGCAGAUAUCAAUGGAAUCCUGCAGGGUUUCAGGCUCGGUGCACCUCCAAGGCCCUGUAGAGAUCUUUAUAGUUCACGUUUUCUGCUCCUGUUGCUUUCAUUAUCAUUUCUUUUCUCCUUGUCGGAAAUAAGAUAUUUGGAACGCGGGGUCUUAAGUGACGGUCCCAGAGCGGGUGCCAUACAAAAGCAACAGAGAUAUUUCAUGUAGAACAAAAUACCGCAAGGUGUGUCGAGUACCAAAAAAUAAAAUACAAAAAAAUGCCUGAAAAAUGCAUCAGUCUGAAACCAAUGAAAUCAAAUUCUACAAAGCAAUACAUAUUGUUUACAAAAUAUAAAAGAGCAGAAGCUAAGGAGGAGAGAGAGAAAUACUGUGGUGCCUCGCAAGACGAAAUUAAUCCGUUCUGCGAGUCUCUUCGUCUUGCGGUUUUUUCGUCUUGCGAAGCACGGCUAUUAGCGGCUUAGCGGCUAUUAACGGCUUAGCGGCUUAGCGGCUAUUAACGGCUUAGCGGCUUUAAGAAAAGGAAACAAACUCGCAAGAACUCGCAAGAUGUUUCGUCUUGCGAAGCAAGCCCAUAGGGAAAUUCGUCUUGCGGAACGACUCAAAAAACGGAAAACUCUUUCGUCUUGCACGUUUUUCGUCUUGCGAGGCAUUCGUCUUGCGAGGCACCACUGUAGGUAUGGCAGUGGUACAGAAUUUGGUGGCUUUGGGGGCCUCAUUAGGCGCGGCAGGGGUCCUAAUUUGGCUCAUGAGGCCAUUUCCCCCACGUCACACCCACACACUGAACAUCUAACAUCAUAUAUACCGUGGUACCUUGGGUUUCAUACUCUUCAGGUUACAGACUCCAGUAACCCAGAAAUAGUACCUCAGGUUAAGAACUUUGCUUCAGUAUGAGAACAGAAAUCGUGCGGUGGUGGCGUGGCAGCAACAGGAGGCCCCAUUAGCUAAAGCAGUACUUCAGGUUAAGAACAGUUUCAGGUUAAGAGCGGACCUCCAGAACGAAUUAAGUUCUUAACCUGAGGUACCACUGUACAUUGAAAUAAAAAGAAUAAAAAAAGAAAUUUGUCCAGUAGCACCUUAUAGACCAACAAAGUUUGUUCUGGUAUAAGUUUUGAAGAAGUGUGCAUGCAGACGAAAGCUUAUACCAGAACAAACUUAGUUGGUCUAUAUAAGGUGCUACUGGACAAUUUUUAUUAUUUUUAUUUUUAUUUUGACUACGUCAGACCAAUAUGGCUACCCACCUGAAUCUAGAAUGAUGUCAGAUUCAGGGCAGGUAAAGACACAGCUGCAUAGGAACCGUCCGGAGCCUUAGAAAGAGCUCCGGCUUGCUCCUAGCAAGUGGCACUUGUGUUCAGCAUCUGUUGAAUUUGGCAACCAAUGCCAGUGCUCCUGGGACCGGUUUCACGUGGGAGCUCCCAAUCAGAGCUCCUGAGUGGCUCCAAUCUCUGAUGAACAGCAGGGUGCAAAGUCAGCGCUAAUCAGCCAAUUAGCUCUUCUUUAAGCCUCAUUGGGCCCGGCUCCACUCCAAAGGUUCUCUAAUCAAGAACUCAAGAGCGCAGCUGAUGUAUGUGUGGGGUUUUGUGUCAGUGUCGCUUGUGCGUCGAACUCCGGAUCCGUUCCGGAGGCCCGUUCAAAACAUGAAAGGAACGCAACCCACAGCGGCGAGUCUGCACACGUGCGGGUUGCGAUUUGCCGCUUCUGUGCAUGUGUGUGACGUCAUUUUGCAUGUGUGCACAUGCACGAGCGGCGAAACCCGGAAGUAACCCUUUCCAGUACUUCCGGGUCGCCGCAGGACACAACCUGAAAAAAUGUAACAUGAAGCAAACCUAACAUGAUUCAUAUGCUGUUGGUGGGUUCUUGUCGUCUUGUUGGGCUGUGUAUGUGAUAAAGGGGAGUCAUGGCAAGGUGAAGGCGCCUUCUUCUAUUUGUCCCCCUGUCAGUUUCAGCUUAUUGGUUAGUUUUUUUAAUAAGGCUGUUUCCCACACUAUUUGGUACCAUUGCUUACUCCUGACAUAUCUCUCCAGUGUCUGGCUAUGAUGUUUCUGUCUGCUGAGCAUAGGUGGGUUAUGAGCUCUUUAUGACGAGAGUGGGCAUUAUUAUCUUGGAAGAUGUUGUGAUACAGGUAUGUAGAAAAUGUAACUUGAAAAAAGAGACAUUGCACAUACUUUUGUAAACCAAUAAAUCUUUAAUAAAAAAUAUGUUGUUGUUUUUAAAAAAGAGCGCAGCUGAUCCAAACCAUGAUUUCAAGCCCUGGUUUCAUUAGCUGAGGUCUUCCUUUGCAGCAUGACUCGAACUCAAGCCAUGCUGCAAAUUGGGUGGCAGGGGUGGGAAGGGUCACCUAGCAUCACAGUCGGAGGCUCAGCCCACCUCUCAAAGUGGCUCCCCAAGGGUGAGAGGGAGUUAAGAAUCCAACCCACUGGGCUGAAAAGGAUCCUGAUGUACAGAGAGAGGUGUAACCCUGAGGUCCUCUCUUUCCAGAUACAUUUCUCCAUCAUCUGCACCUUUUCUCUUUUUGAAACAUUUCCAGCAAAAUGUUAAUAGGAGGAGGACUGGCCUAGCUGGGUCUAGUGGGGAUGGGUGAGGGGGGGAGCGUAACUCACAUCAGAGUUUGGUUUGAUUCCACUUGCUUGCUCCUGUACAGAAGUUAACAGUUCUCUCUGCCAUGGCUCAACCUUGAUAUUUAUAAUGUCCCUGUGAACCUACCAUAUGGCUAUAAUGAUGAAAUAGUCUUCAUACAUUGCUGAAAUGAAGCCUAGGUACGUAUAACUGCAUCUAUGAAACGUUUAAUCCCUAUGGCUUCUUCAUUCCUCCUCUGCAUCGGCCCCACAGUCAGUGUCUAGAUUGUAGGGUUAGAAGAGACCCCAAUACAGGAAUCCCGGCUAAAGCAUCCAUGGCCAUCCAGCUUAUGCUUAUGUGCUAAUAUGCCUCUUCUUUACUUUCCAAUUUCCUUCCCCACCCCACUCCCCCGUUCCAAAUUUUGACAAUCACCAAGGUUGGUGCAAUCUACGUGUGUGUGUUAGUGAUUAAUACCAAACUCCCGUGCUAAAUGGAAUUAAAGUUAGAAGACUCGCUGAAGGUUCCGAAUAGUUCAAACUCAUGGCUUUGUCUCCUGUCUUCAGUGGAGAGUGUGAACAUUUGUUCCCUCACUUCUUUCCAACAUCCUUGUAAAUAUUUUAGAACUGUCAACAUAUUUCCCCUACGCUCAUCUGUUCUCUAGACUAAACAGACCAAGGAGUGAUUUGUCUUCUAACCCUUUCAGAAUCCUCAAAGUUCUCCCCUUGUAACUUAUCAACAUCCUUCUUAAAAUGGUGUUGUCCCCCCCAAUAAAACAGACAAGGCUCGGAACAAAUGAAUGUUGUUUUUCUUUAAAGAUCCGGAUCUGAAAUAGAUAUGCUUGCAAGGAUGCAGUGUCUCGCAGCAGGCAUGUAGCAGCAGGGAGAAAAAAAAUCAUGGAUAUCUGAAUCACUGAUAUCCUGGUCAAAGAGACACUUUGUCCUAGAGUUUGGCAGGUAAACAUAUAGACUGCAGUGAAGCUGAUGGGAAACUCACCAAUGGGGAUGUGAAUUGCAAAGAUAAUUUACAGGUUUUGUUGCAGCAAAGACUUAGGUAGUAUCAACGAUGUUUUCCUGCUUUUUGUAAACAGGUGUGUUUAUUCUGGUCCGAAUAAGAGUUUCCUCUUCUCUUUCUCUCUUUUUAAUUGGCACCAAGGUUUGUAAUGCAGAGAACCAAAUCAAUUUGCAAAUCGAAAUGCAGCCACCCUCUGAAAUUCACACGUCUCCUAAUUUUGCAACGUGAACAGCAAUAUUAUUUUGGGAACACGUGUGCCAAAAAACAUUAUGCUGGGGAAAACUGCUUUGCAAAAUUAUGUAUGUUCACAAACGGAUGCUGAAAUGUGGAGAAGUGAAGGGUGGGGAAAUGAGAAACCAAAACUGACAUAUUUGCUCAGCUUUAGUCAUCGGUGCAUCUGUCUGUUGUGCAAACUGUGACUGCUGUUCUGCUGCAUCUGUCUCUACCCUUACUCCUUUGCGGAACUCACAGCAAUCUAUGUGUGGCAGAAAAUACAAUCCCCUCUCAUGCCUUCUAAUUUCAUUCUAAUGGCCUGAGGGGAGAGAAACGCCUGAGUGAUCGUUUAAUUGUUUCUCGCAGAGCAGCAGGCAGAGCAAAAGUAUAAAUAUGCAAAGGCCACUUCAUUUCAGAGGAGUGUGGAUAACUAGCAGAUGGGCAGCUGGACGUGAAGUUCUUUCUUAUCAAGAGAAACUGCCCUCCCCAGUACAAAUGGCACCCAUCUGGCUGGAUACCACAGCCCGCUUGGGGAGAAGGGGGCCAAAGGAUUGUGGGAGAUCCUAACUUCAUUUGCAUGUGGCAGCAAUCACUAUCACCGUGUGCAACUUUUUUAUUUCUUCACUAGCACACAACAAUGCACGCUUUAGUAUUCUGGAGAAGCAUUCUGCACUCCUUUGCAAGUGCUGCCUUCAUACACCUUCAAGAAUAAAAAGCAUGUAGCAUUAUGCUUUUUAUUUAACCAAAGUUAUAAACCAGUUAAUGAGACGGCUGUGUGUGCUUAACAUAAAAUAAUACAAAACAUUCAAAAGAAAAUGCAGAUAAAAUCAACAGACUUUCUUUUAAAGGGGAGGGAGGCAUAAUGGUUUGUAUUCAAAGUAGCACUAAAGAGAAUAUUCCAGCAGUGCAAGGAUUUUCCUAGAACUUUCUCCCAUCUCUCCCCUUGCCUCUUGCCCCCUAAAUUUGUUCUGGGGGCUCCCCUCCAACCUUCCAGAGCUUUCCAGCCCAGUCACCUGAAAGGCCUUCAGCUUUUUCCACCCCAGCUGGUCAGUAGAUGAAUGUGUAACUAACAACUACCUGACUUUGCUUAUUUCCUCCUCCCUCCUGAUCCAUUUUCCUUUGGUGUCAUGUCUUUUUAGAUUGUAAAAAGAGCUCUUUUUGCCUGAAGAGUGUGAUAGAAAUCCAACAGCAACAACAAUAGGAUUCUCUUCCUCUUUAAUCCAAGAGCACGCAGUUCUGGCCUGCAGCUUAUCCUGCAGACCAGGCCCUCUAAACUGGUAUUAAACAAACUUCCUAUUUCCCUACCAAGUCACUGGAAAAUGAAGAAACUUGACUGGUUAUUUUUUGUAUUCUCAUUGGCCCUCGUCCAAACAUUCUUAUGUGUGGCAGUGAGCUUUGUGGUUGCUUCAGAGGGCAAAGAGCUUCCAGCUUAGCAGAUGCACUAUUCUAUCAGCUUUGACAGGACUGAUCUCCUAUUUGCCAGGAGAGAGAGAAAGAGAGUGCUUUGAAUUAGUCCCACCUCUAGUUGUCUCUGCCUCCGGCAGCAGUUAAUGUCUGAGCCAUUUUUGUGCCCACAGAUCACCAUUUACUGGGACAGUGGGGAAAACAUAGCUGCAUAUCCUCCAACAUUUCUCCGAUGAAAAUAGGGACGUCCCACACUUCCAUAAUGAUAAUUUUACUAUUUAUGCCCCACACAACUUACUGGGUUGUCCCAGCCACUCUGGGCAGCUUCCAACAUAUAUAAAAACAUAAUAAAAUCUUAAACAGCCGUGUCAUGCUUAUGAUAAUAUUUUAUUCUCUUGUCCUUUGUAAUGUUUUAUUUUGAAAUCUUUAAGAUAAUAUUUUAGUUUCCUGUUAAUUAUGUUGAUUUGACUGUAUACUUUAUAUUUGACUUUCUUCAGAAAUGUUUGAUUCUGGAUUGUUUUAUUGAUGUUUAAUAUGCUGUAAACCACUUUGAGAUUUUUCUUCAAAAUAUAAAGUGGUCUAGAAAUGAAAAUAAUAAAUAAAUAAAUAAAAUAAACAUUUUAAAAAACUUCCCUAUGCAGGAUUGCCUUCAGACUACUUGGGGGUGGGGUCGGAUAACUCCAUACCCUCCAACAUUUCUCCAAUGAAAAUUUGUUGCUUAGCAUUUAGUCGUGUCCGGCUCUUCGUGAUCCCAUGGACCAGAGCAUGCCAGGCACUCCUGUCUUCCACUGCCUCCUGCAGUUUGGUCAAACUCAUGCAGGUAGCUUCGAGAACAUUAUCCAACCAUCUCAUCCUCUGUCAUCCCCUUCUCCUUGUGCCCUCCAUCUUUCCCAACAUCAGGGUCUUUUCCAGGGAGUCUCCUCUUCUCAUGAGGUGGCCAAAGUAUUGGACUCUCAGCUUCACGAUCUGUCCUUCCAGUGAGCACUCAGGGCUGAUUUCCUUCAAAAUGGAUAGGUUUGAUCUUCUUGUAGUCCAUGGGACUCUCAAGAGUCUCCUCCAGCACCAUAAUUCAAAAGCAUCAAUUCUUCAGCAAUCAGCCUUCUUUAUGGUCCAGCUCUCACUUCCAUACAUCACUACUGGGAAAACCAUAGCUUUAAUUAUACGGACCUUUGUUGGCAAGGUGAUGUCUCUGCUUUUUAAGAUGCUGUCUAGGUUUGUCAUUGCUUUUCUCCCAAGAAGCAGGCGUCUUUUAUUUUCAUGGCUGCUGUCACCAUCUGCAGUGAUCAUGGAGCCCUAUAAAGUAAAAUCUCUCACUGCCUCCAUUUCUUCCCCUUCUAUUUGCCAGGAGGUGAUGGGACCAGUGGCCAUG